rnacentral:lncRNA from 1 species
GGGCCCCUGGGUUGUAUGAAUAAUUUAAUUGCUUCAGUUCUAUAUAUACCGCGUCCCACAUGUUUCAUCAAGUGUCAGAUAAUACAGAACCUACUUCGCCAAAAUGAAGAAAAUUGAGGUCAGUAUAAAUUCCAAACACACCAUCAAACCAUCAUCUUCCUCUACACCACUACAGCCUUACAAGCUUACCCUCCUGGACCAGCUCACUCCUCCAACGUAUGUCCCUAUGGUAUUCUUCUACCCCAUUACUGACCAUGUCUUCAAUCUUCCUCAAACCCUAGCAGACUUAAGACAAGCCCUUUCCGAGACUCUCACUUUGUACUAUCCACUCUCUGGAAGGGUCAAAAACAACCUAUACAUCGAUGAUUUUGAAGAGGGUAUCCCAUACCUUGAGGCUCGAGUGAAUUGUGACAUGACUGAUUUUCUAAGGCUUCGGAAAAUCGAGUGCCUAAAUGAGUUUGUUCCAAUAAAAACAUUUAGUAUGGAAGCAAUAUCUGAUGAGCGUUACCCCUUGCUUGGAGUUCAAGUCAACAUUUUGGACUCUGGAAUAGCAAUCGGUGUCUUCAUCUCUCACAAGCUCAUCGAUGGAAGAACGGCAUACUGUUUUCUCAAGUCCUGGGGUGCUGUUUUUCGAGGGUGUCGUGAAGAUGUCAUACAUCCUAGUCUCUCUGAAGCAGCAUUGCUUUUCCCACCGAGAGAUGACUUGCCUGAAAAGUAUGCCGGUCAGAUGGAAGGGUUAUGGUUUGCCGGAAAGAAUGUUGCUACAAGGAGAUUUGUAUUUGGUGCGAAAGUCAUAUCUUCAAUUCAAGAUGAAGCGAAGAGCGAGUCCGUGCCCAAGCCAUCACGAGUUCAGGCCGUCACUGGUUUUCUCUGGAAACAUCUAAUCGCUGCUUCUCGGGCACUAACAUCAGGUAAAAUCAGUUUAUCAACAAGCCAAAUAAUAAAGCCUAAUGUAUUUGGGGUACUUAUUUAUAUAUUUUUAUUACGUAUAUCUAGUGUACUGUGUACAUAGCUCAAAGAAUGAGAAAAUAUAUGAACUUGCAGGUACUACUUCAACAAAACUUUCUAUAGCAGCCCAGGCAGUGAACAUAAGAUCACGGAUGAACAUGGAGACGGUGUUGGAUAAUGCCACUGGAAACUUGAUGUGGUGGGCACCGGCCAUACUACAGCCAAGUCAUACAACACCAGAGAUUAGUGAUCUUAAGCUGUGUGACUUGGUUAACUUGCUCAAUGGAUCUGUCAAACAAUGUAACGGUGAUUACUUUGAGACUUUCAAGGGUAAAGAGGGAUAUGGAAGAAUGUGUGAGUAUCUAGAUUUUCAGAGGACUAUGAGUUCUAUGGAACCAGCACCAGAGAUUUAUUUAUUCUCGAGCUGGACUAAUUUUUUCAAUGCACUUGAUUUUGGAUGGGGGAGGACAUCAUGGAUUGGAGUUACGGGAAAAAUUGAAUCUGCAUUUUGCAAUUCCACAAUGUUGGUUCCAACACAAUGCGAUAAUGGAAUUGAAGCAUGGGUGAAUCUAGAAGAAGAGAAAAUGGCUAUGCUAGAACAAGAUCCCCAGUUUCUAGCGGUAGCAUCUCCAAACCCCCCAAUUUCAAGGUGUUGAUUAAAAAAGAUUAUGUGGCUCGUGCAAUGUUUCGAUUUUGUAGUGAAUAAGGUUUAAAUUAGUUCACCAGCCAAUCAAUAAGAUGCAAGUAUGAUAGACUCUGUCUACGUAUGUUAUCCGAAUGUGUUUUCGAUAUGCUUGUAACCAAUAUAGCUCUUGUUUGUAAUAAUGCUCUGUUAAGCUUCUAUCUAUAAAGUUAUUUCUCUUGAUUAAAGAAAAAACUAUACAAGUUUUGUUAAGCUUUAUUCUAUUUUUAAGAUAGGAUGUAUGUAGUACCUAUAAAGAUGGUUCACCUAUUAUUAUUUUCAAAUACAUGAUUAUCCGGUACAAUUACGUAGAAUAUUUCUAUAGCUAAAAAAAUGUAAUUUUGAUCCGUGACAACAUGAUUAAAAAAUUACAUAUUCUGAUACAUUUGUUCUCUAACGACAAGCAUGGCCAUAAUGCCUCACCUGAUCAUCUAUGUGAUGGGGUAGUGUCCUUUCUUUUUAAGAGAAGGUAGGCACCUAAUGUGAAGGCCUCUACGAGAGACUAAUAUUGUCUGAUCUUCUUUUGUUCAUCAAAUUAAAGAAACGAAAAUGGCCACAAUGCCUCACUAUUGAUAGAAGAUAGAACCAUACAAUAAUUUGGAACAUAUGCAUGGAGACAAGGAAAUAUAACACAAUAAAACCAUUAUAAUUUCACUUUAUGUGGGAAACUUGGCCAAAACCGAAUCACAUCCACGUUGGCAACAAAAAGUGACUGGAAAAAAAGAGCCCCCAAAAAGCUAAAACACUAUAAAAACCAGAAAACUUGAAUAAGCGAAAAACCAAAAGUAUGACAUUUACACACACACUCUAUCUCUCUCUCAAAGUCUGAAAACUUGCGCAAUAAGGUACCUAGCUCUCUGGUCUUUUCUUUCUAAUGCAUAUAAGUCCCUGUAAAUUUUAUGGCUUUUGGAAUGAUGAUUUUAUGCUUGUGGAUCUCAGAUGGGUUUGUUUUGUUUUGGGAUUUUUAUAAAUGAAUCCAUUGAAAAUGUUGAAAGCUUAUGCCUUUGUUCCUUGGUUCACUGUUCUGGUUUUGUAAAUUGUGUGUACGAGAGUUGAAAUGUUGGUUUUGGUAAAGAGAAAUGUUCUAUAACCAUGUAAGUUAUCUUCUAAAGUUGUUCGAGUACUGCAUAGGAAAUAACGACCUAAACUGCUAGAUGCUCUGAGAAACUUAAUUAUCCGAUUCGUUGUGAUAAAUUAAUAGAACCAUCAAUAGCCGUGAUAGUCCCUUAAUAUUUGGUGGCUAAUUAGCAAUGCAUUCAUGGUAGUUGCAUGUGCUUAUUUUGUGCAGUAUUCUAAUUCUAUCACUUGCAAAAUCGUUGUGGAAGGUCAAGAGGAGAAAACUGAAAAUGGGGCAGCAUGCAUCUCAUUUUAUUUUUUUAUGCAAUAGAGCCCUAUAUAUAAAAUAAAUAAUGUAUCUAUAACCUUCUCUAAUUAAUUUACUUAGUAAUUGACGCAAUUUGGCCGAACUGUUUCUAAACACACUAAGCUUCAGUUCUAUAUAUACCACGUACCACAUGUAUGAAUUCAUCAAGUGUCUGAUAAUACUAAACCUACUUCGACAAAAUGGAGAAAAUUGAGGUCAGUAUAAUUUCCAAACACACCAUCAAACCAUCAGCUUCCACUCCACGACUUCAGCCUUACAAGCUUACCCUCCUGGACCAGCUCACUCCUGCAAUGUAUGUCCCCAUGGUAUUCUUCUACCCCAUUACUGAUCCUGUCUUCAAUCUUCCUCAAACCCUAGCUGACUUAAGACAAGCCCUUUCCGAGACUCUCACUUUGUACUAUCCACUCUCUGGAAGGGUAAAAAACAACCUAUACAUCGAUGAUUUUGAAGAGGGUGUCCCAUACCUUGAGGCUCGAGUGAAUUGUGACAUAACUGAUUUCCUAAUGCUUCGGAAAAUCGAGUGCCUAAAUGAGUUUGUUCCAAUAAAAACAUUUAGUAUGGAAGCAAUAUCUGAUGAGCGUUACCCUUUGCUUGGAGUUCAAGUCAACAUUUUCGACUCUGGAAUAGCAAUCGGUGUCUCCGGCUCUCACAAGCUCAUUGAUGGAAGAACGGCAGACUGUUUUCUCAAGUCCUGGGGUGCUGUUUUUCGAGGGUGUCGUGAAGAUAUCAUACAUCCUUGUCUCUCUGAAGCAGCAUUGCUUUUCCCACCGAGAGAUGACCUGCCUGAAAAGUAUAUAGCUUUGAUGGAAGGGUUACGGUUUGCCGGAAAAAAAGUUUCUACGAGGAGAUUCGUAUUUGAUGCGAAAACCAUAUCUGCAAUUCAAGAUGAAGCGAAGAGCGAGUCCGUGCCCAAGCCAUCACGAGUUCAGGCCGUCACUGGUUUUCUCUGGAAACAUCUAAUCGUUGCUUCUCGGGCACUAACAUCAGGUAAAAUUAGUUUAUCAACAAGCCAAAUAAUAAAGCCUAAUGUAUUUGGGGUACUUAUUUAUAUAUUUUUAUUACGUAUAGCUAGUGUACUGUGUACAUAGCUCAAAGAAUGAGAAAAUAUAUGAACUUGCAGGUACUACUUCAACAAAACUUUCUAUAGCAGCCCAGGCAGUGAACAUAAGAUCACGGAUGAACAUGGAGACGGUGUUGGAUAAUGCCACUGGAAACUUGAUGUGGUGGGCACCGGCCAUACUAGAGCUAAGUCAUACAACACCAGAGAUUAGUGAUCUUAAGCUGUGUGACUUGGUUAACUUGCUCAAUGGAUCUGUCAAACAAUGUAACGAUGAUUACUUUGAGACUUUCAAGGGUAAAGAGGGAUAUGAAAGCAUGUGUGAGUAUCUAGAUUUUCAGAGGAUUAUGAGUUCUAUAGAACCAACACCAGAGAUUUAUACAUUCUCGAGCUGGACCAGUUUUUUCAACCAACUUGAUUUUGGAUGGGGGAGGUCAUCUUGGAUUGGAGUUACAGGAAAAAUUGAAUCUGCAUAUUGCAAUUCCACAGUGUUGGUUCCAACACAAUGCGAUACUGGAAUUGAAGCGUGGGUAAGUCUAGAAGAAGAGAAAAUGGCUACGCUAAAACAAGAUCCCCAGUUUCUAGCGGCAGCAUCUCCAAACCCCCCAGUUUCAAGGUGUUGAUUAAAAAAGAUUAUGUGGCUCGUGCAAUGUUUCUAUUUUGCAGUGAAUAAGGUUUAAAUUAGUUCACCCGUCGAUCAAUAAGAUGCAAGUAUGAUAGAUAUGUUAUUCGAAUGUGUUUCGAUAUGGUUGUAACCAAUUAAUAUAGCUCUUGUUUGUAACAAUGCUCUAUUAAGCUUCUAUCUAUAAAGUUAUUUCUCUAUUAAAAAAAAAACUAUGGAAGUGUUACCAAGCUUUGUUCUGUUUCAAAGGUAAGAUGCAUAUACUACCCGAAAAUAAUGUUCACCUAUCAUAAUUCUUCCACAUGAAAACCCGGUAAGAAUCACAUAAAAUAUUUCUAAUACUUUAGAAUCUAAUUUGGGUUUGUGACAACAUAAUUGAAGAGGUACAUAUUCUGAUACAUUCGUUAUUUAACGACAAGCAUGUACAUAAUACCUAACCUAGGAGGAGGGUGUACGUAGUGUUCUCUCUCCUUAAGAAGGCCUGCCUUUCGCGAAGGCCUCUUUCAAAGGACUGAUAUAAUAUAAUCUUCUUCUUUUUUUAAUCAAAAGAAACGAAAAUGGCUUCAUUGUUCAUAAUUUGGAAUAUAUGGUGGAUUGUACGGUGUUGUUUUGAGGGAGCUUCUCUCUCGGGUCAAGGGUUUCCAAUGGAUUUGUGCAAUGAGAUUUGAUUGGCAACAGUUAUUCGGGCAUCAACGCUCCAAUUUAGCACUCCUCAGUCCUCACUACCUCAUUGUUGUUGACGAUGGCGAUGACGACAUUAGCGAGCAUGGGUGAUGUGUGUGGCAUAUUUGUUUGUAUUGUUGCAUUAUUGCUUUCGGAUGUAAGGGCUUCGCCCUAUAGAUUAGCGAGCAAUUGGUCUCCUCUCAUUCUUUCUACCUUGAUCGAGUUGGAGAUCCAUGCACUUUAUUUGUAGUACUUUUUUUGGCCUCGCGUUUGCAAGCUUUGAAAUUCCCGUGAUUAAGGAAUUAUUCAUUUUUUACAAAAAAAAAGAAGAAGAUUUUUUCCUGAAAAAUAACACAACAACCAUCAUAAUUUCACUUUAUGUGGGAAAUUUAGCCAAAUCCGAAUCACAUCCACGUCGGCAACAGAGAGUGACUUGAAAGAAGUGCACCCAGAAAGCUAAAAAACCAUAAAAACUAGAAAACUUGAAUAAGGAAAAACUAAAGUAUGACAUUCCAAUCUAUUGUUUUAUGGUUUUUGAAGGAUUCAAAUUUGUCAACCACUUUUUACUUGACCACCUUAAUGACCACUAUCUAGAUUGGUGAUACGUGUCUUUUCAAAUUAUUUUACUUUAUUGUUUUAUUGUUGAUAAAAAAAAUAAACAUGUGUCACCAAUCUAAAUAGUGGUCAUUGAGAUGAUCAAGUAAAAGUGGUUGACAAAUUUGAAUCCAUUUCUUAUUGCGGUUUUGUUCUGCCAAAUCCAAAUCCCAUGACCCAAUCAUUUACACUCCCUCUCAAUCUCUGCAAAACUGACUGCUUCCCUUGAAAACGUGCGCAAUAAGGUACCUAGCUCUCUGCCCUUUUCCUUGUAAUGCAUUCAAGUCCCUGUAAAUUUUGUGGUUUUUGGUAAUGAUUUUAUGCUUGUGGAUCUCAAAUGGGUUUGGGUUUGUUUUGUUUUGGGAUUUUUAUAAAUGAAUGCAUUGGAAAUGUUAAAGCUUAUGCGUUUGUUCCAUGAUUCAGUGUUCUGCAAUUUGUGCCUUCUCUUCCGGAUCUGAUGUACGUGAUGUUCUAGCUAGUUGUCUUUUGGAUUGAAAAGAUAUUAUCUUUUGAUUGUUUUUGAUAGAACAUCAACAUCAAUCAUCAAUGAGAUGAAUCUGAAGUAGGUUAUUAGUUUGGAGAUAUGUUAAUGGUUAAUGAAUCAAGCUGAAGUUGUUCUGGUUAUUGGAGCAAUAGGUUCCAUACUGAAGCAUCUAAUUUUGAAUUUGCAAAGAGUGGUUGACGAGUUAUCCUUGGGAUUGGCGGGUGACAUUGAAAAAGUCUUGGUUUUGUGUAUAAGAGUUGAAAUGUGAUUUCUUUACUGUUACCAUGAUGUGGGUUCUACUAAAAGACUCGUUCUUGAAUCUGGGGUCAUGUCCUGUGAUGACUCAAUUCUUGCAAAACACAACUGAGAUGUGUCAAAAUGGGUUCGGGAGCGUCUUUAUAUAUCGAAGUAUCAUGAGUUUCGAUACUAAGUGAGGGUGCUGGAUAGAAUUGAGUUUGGAGGUUCAAUGCUUCAAAAACAAAGAAGCUAGAGGGAACGUAAUUCUUGAUGAUUCAAGACGGAUCAAUGACCUUGUAAUUAAGUUGCUUAUGUGCAAUUGUUGAGCUUAUGGUGUUUCCAGUUUGGAUACGGAUAGCUAUUUCUGUUUUCAGUAUAACCACCAUGUGUUGCAUCCUCUUACUCUUCAUCUUCAUUUACCUAUCUUUGAUCUGAUGUUCCAUUGGCAGAGCUCCCUUAUGCUAAACUGUAAAACCUGCAUUCCAGGUGGUCAUUCUGUUAGAACUUUGGAAGGUCUCGGAAAGGAAACACUCGUCGACAAAUUUUGGGAGCAGUUGCAUAAAAGGAAUGGUCUCCCAACUCGGAGAUAAUGGAGACGCGUACUGGAAAUUCCCGUCCCAAUAAAAAGCAAUCGUCGGAGAAGUCUAAAUCUGCCACUGAAGAGAAAAGGCCUGCAGAAAAGAAGCAAACACUUCUGUGUUUGUCAACUAUGGUAAGUUCAUUAGAUAGUAAGUACUGAGUUUUCUAACAUCGGUGUAACACCAUGCAACUAACUCAGUACUGUAGAAUAGACAUCUAUGUUAGUCUCUUUAGAUAAUAUGCACACUUUAACUUUUCAAAUGACGUCCUGCAUUAGUUAGUCAACUGUUCAAAAUCUCGUAGGUUACAAUUUUCCCAUCUCCAAAACCAAGUGUCCAUAAUCUUUUUCCCUCUUUGUUCACUAAACUAGUAAACUCCUCGUUUAGAUUAAUGUUCUAAAUCUUUUAGUUUUUGUUCCAUCUUGACAUAACUUGUGGCUCAUUACCUACGUUGCAUGGAAUCGGAAGCGGAAACGUGGAAGCGAAGCGUUUGGAAGCGCGGAAGCGAUUUUUUUGAAAAUAAUUUGGAAGCGAAAGCGUUUUAGAAAUGUGAGAAUCAAAAUAAUAUAUACAAAUAACAAAUAUAUAUCACCUAAUUUUAAUUUCAUUCAUUUAUUUUAAUCGUUAAUUUUAAUAAGUUGUACAAAUUAGUUUGAUUGUUUAGCAGAUAACAACUCAUUCUUAAAAAAAAAAGAUAUCACUAAACCUUAUAAAAAUAAACUUCUUCACUAAAAAAAAGUCCACCAUGAAAUAUUGAAAGCACACGUCUCUCUAAUCUCUACACCUUUUAAUCUUCUUUCUUCACCUCUCUAUGCUCUCUCACCCUCCAGGUUGCCGUCAUCUUCUUUAACUUCAUUCUCUCUCACUCCUCUCCCUCCCUCCAGUUUCAAAUCCUUUCUUAACAGGUCCUCAAGCAGAAGAUCUGAUUGAUUAUAGAUUUCGAAAGAGAUAGAGAGAAGAUUGAUGUGCCGCUGAAUCAGUUCUCGUGCAGUGGACCAUCGCGCUUCCAAAUCAAAAUCGUGAGCUUCCAUAUUGGAAGCAUGCGCUUCCGUCGUGCUUCCAAAACCCUCUUUUCCCGGAAUCACGAUUCCGGGCGCUUCCGAGCGCUUCCACGGCGUUUCCGCUUCGCUUCCGCUUCGGAAGCGGGCGAGUGGCCCGGCGCUUCCGUGCUUCCUAGCUCAUUACUGCCCUGUAAACCAACUACGGCCGAGUUGUACCAAAAGGAAAUUCGGCCUCUCAUCAAUGAGUAAAGGUUUUUUUUUUUUUUUUCUUCCUUUUGUGGGGGAAGAAGAAGUAUGCAAUAAUUUUGGAAGUAACAUAUCCCCUAUCACCAUUCCUUGCAACAAGCAAUUACUUCUGGCAUUUUGUGGUUGAUGUUGAUCAUUUUGUAACUUUUGUUCUUUCAUGAUAAUAAAGCUAAUUUCUCAUGUAGCUGCAAUUGCUUGGCAUGAGAGUAGAAGAAAGUGGAUAGGGGAUCAGCGGCUGCAAAGAAUGGCCAAGGAUCCAAUUAUAAGGUAUUUUUUCCUCACAAAGGUUCCUGGAUAGAAUGGGGUUAGCAAGUCAUGGUUAAAGAGUUGCACCUUAAAGUUUAAUAACAAAAGAAAAGUUGGAGAGCAUAACUGCCAUAACUUAUAUUCUUUGUAGGUACAAAUGAACUCAUUAACACUGGUGUGUCAGUUUUUAGGAAAUUACACUUAUAUUUGAGUAUCUGUCACUCUGUCCACUACUUGCACCCUGACUUGCUGAUCUGUAAAUCCUAGAUUUUUCAAAAUUGCUCCUUUAGUCCUUUUGUUUGGUGUGUGUCCAUAUUAGUAGCUUUGUCCAUUUAUGCUGUUAAAUUGUAGCUGCUAUAUGAAUGUCAGGAAGUUAAAUGUGAAAACUAUAUGCUGCAUAUUAUAGCACCAUUGUAAUGAUUGAUGAUAUUAGUGUCUUUGUCCAAUUAUUUUCUGUUCAAUUAUUGCUACUUCUUGAAGAUAAUGUGGAAAGUUUAUGUUUCAGCUGGUCAACAGCCUAUGAGGAUCUACUCUCAACCAAUGAGUGUUUUUCUGAGCCGAUCCCCUUAACUGUAAGUCGAUCAUAUAAUAGCACAUACCUGUCCAAUAAAUAUCUUCUGAUAAGUCAUAUAUCUCUAUUACUUGUGUUUAUUUGACAUUGGAAAUAUUUUCUAAAGUUUGAUGUUUUUAUAAAAUUGGUUUUAAGCAUGUUUUCAUACUGGAGCUCCACUUUAUGUUUUCAAAAGUCAUGGGUAGUUUUCUUGAGCAGCGAGGACGAAAACUCAUCCCUACAACAGUUUGUGGAUGCAUGUAUUGUGCACUGGGACAAGAUAAUGGCGAGGAGUUGGGUGUGCAUGUUUGUGAUCGGUAAUUUAUUUUCUAUGCUUACAUGUUUAUUUUUAGACUCAAGUUACAUGUUUAAAUUGUAUUCUGUUGGCCUUGUUAUAAUCUCAUCCGUGAUUCUAUUAAUGAAGCUUGUUAAUUACUGGCCAUUCCUUAUAUCAAGUUUUAUACGAACAUAAGAGUCUAAUCCUGAUAUGAUUUUGUCUUGUGAGACUCUCAUUGCAAUUUGUAUUCUUUUGAGUUCAUUAUUUCUUAACGUUUAUUGUGUUAGGUUUUAGACGAAUGACUUUACCUUAAGCAAAUUAAAUAUUUUUCUUUUACAUACACCUCAAAUAGUUUUACGCUUCCGUGGUGUUUGCUUAAAUGAUUUCUUAAAUAAACUGUCUUGCGUUUCUCUUGGUUUUUAUUUUAGAGACAUGCGGCACUGUGACGUGUCUAAACUAAGGAGGCGUAGUUUGGGGCGUUACAGAUUUAAUCUUUACACACUAUGAGAAUAUCAAAAUAUCACGAUAUUUGUGCAAAACUCACGAAAUCUUGUUAUUAAAUCAGCCGAAGUCAUCAUAUAUAGUCAUUAACUCGGGCCAAACUUAUAAAAUUAACACUAAAGUCUUGGCGCAGCUAACAUGAUUUGAACCCAGGUUGCCACAUGUUUGUAACAUCCUGAAAUUUCAAAUUUUUAUUUUUAAAAGGAAAGUUAUUUUUAUUUCGAUUUCUAUUAUUCUUUUAAAUUCUUUAUAGUUUUUGAAAAUUAUUCAAAUUUUGUUUUUGGAGCCCAUCGGAUUAAACUAGAGGCCGUGAUGAAUUUGUGGGAUUUUUCGGAACACCGUUUGGAUAUCGGAUAUAUUUUUAAUGAUUUUUAGAAGUUGGUAUUAUCUAAAAAUUUAAUUAAAAAUAGAAAAUCAAGGUCGGUCAAAUUUGGUCCGUCCAGAUUAUAUGGGUAUGGAUCAACUUGGACUUCAUUAUACCCAGUCCCAGACCGACUCCGUCUCCAGCCUCUAUCAGCGACGGAGACCUCCGGUCACUCCUCCGUUGUCCGGCCGUCUCCCGCCGCAAAACGACUGUCUACAGCUCUGUCUCGACGUCCCCGACCUCCCUGGGAUUCCAGCUUGAUGAGUGGAGCUCCGGAAAAGGAGGAGAGAAGGCGACUGUGUUUCCGAUCGGGUUUCCGAUUCCGGUGACGGCGGCGAGCGUGAAUGGUACUGGAAGCAUCCUCUCGUCCUCGUGGUCUUCCCUAUGUCCUCAGUUUCUUCAGAAGAGGUCGGGAGAGAGAGAUUCGAAGUGGAGAAGGAGAGGCUGGGUUCGCCGGCGAGUUUCCGAUUCCGGCCAAGUCGAGGUUUCUCACUGGUAUGAAUAGCUUCAUGUCGGUCUCGGGAACCUUUCCAUGUUGGUGGUUUUCGAAGAGAAGCUCGGAGGAGGGAGAAUCGAAGAGGAGAAGUUUCUGAAUUUUCCGGCGAGGGUUCGACGGAUUCCGGUGAAGCUUGAUGUCGACUCAGGUAUUAAAGUUGGUCUAUUCGAUGAGCUUUACAUGUUUCUAUAAUUGAAAUUGAGAUUGGUUGGGUGUUGGAGAAGUGGGAUUUUGGACAGGUUGUCGACCACCGUGUACGGCGGCGGCGGCGGUUGUUCUUGUAGUUUCUGGCUUUUGUUAAUACAUUGAUUGUGGAGGAGUGUUUUGAGAUGUAUUAGAAUUGCAGGAACAUGAGAAUUGUAUGAAGUUGGGUUUUGAGCAGUGUGGUGUGUGGCCACUGUUCACGGCGGCUAUGGUGGUGUUUUGAAAUCAGAAGACUUGUGUGAGGGAGAGGUUGAAGAUGUGUAUUAUGUUUGGUAUGAGUGUUCAUUCAAUUGGCUUUGGUAUUUGAGAGCAGGGUGCUACGAAUAUCUUGGUUUUGUGAUCAAAGUUGAAGUAAAGCAUAUAUGUUUGUAUGGUUGUGAGAUAUGGUGGUAACUGCAGCAAUGGAUAGUUGAUCAAGGUUCACAUGAUCUUGGAACAAAUGUCCAGUCGAUAACUUUAAGAUGUAAUUGGUAUUGCUAUGCUUGAACAAUUGUGUUUCGGUGGAUUGAAGAUUUGCCGGAAGGUGUGUAGUAAGAUGGGUGUCCAAAGUAAUUGAUGGAGACUGGUGUGUUCUCUUUUGAAUUAUUGUUAGAGAAAGAUGAUUAGAGGAGUUGGGUGUAAUGAACGUUAAGUUGGCUUUGCUGGGUUGUUGUGGAGUCUUAAGAGCAGUAUGGGUACGGGAACAGAAGAAUUGGAUUUUCAUUACUUUCAUAUGGAUUUGAUGUGUUGCUGGGGAGUAGGAAACAGUAAAGGAUUUAGGUUUGGUCAUGUCUGGGUUCGUUGAUAAGUUGUUAUGCCUACAAUUAAGACAUGAGAAGAUUGAUCAAGUUUGAGAUAGGCAAAUAUAAAGGAUUUAGUAGAAAAGAGGAAUUGGGUGUAGAGAGUAAAUUCGGUGCUUAGCUUGGUGCUUGGAGCAUGGUUGGGAUACGACUAAUUAUGGGUGGCGUGUGAUUUGGUAAUUGUCGGAAAAGGUGAGCGGAAUUGGAAAUAAAGAUUUUGAUCGUUUCUAAUUAAAGUGUUUGCCGACUUUAUUGGAACAAGGAUUUGAUGUGAGGGAGCAUGUUGCAAUCCGAGGAGCAGAAUGAUAAGGAUUUCAAAAUGCGUGCCGCGGUGUUAUUAAUUUUAGUAAGCGUCGGAGUCAAGGCUUGGAUUCCAGGUAGGGUCUCUCUCAGGGAACUUUUCUUUAAAUUGAUAAUUAGGUUAUUGUUGAAAUCGGUGCAUUGUGUGGCAUUGGUUGAUAUAACUCUUGGUUGUUAUCGAUUUUGUUAAAAGCAUGUGAUAUCGUUGAUUUAUAUGAAAUUAAUGUUAUUGCUUUCCGUAAAAGCAUGAGUUGAAUGUUAUGAUAUGAGUAUUGAUAUUCAAUUGACAUGCAUAAUGCAUUGUGAGGAAUUGUGAGAAGUGAGAUUGGUGAUUCUGGAGAUGAGAAAGAGAUUGAUAGAAUAGAUACAUUUUGUGUAGUUGAGUUUCCUCAUGGGUUGUCCAAGAUCCAGGGUAGUCCACACGUGCAUAAGUUCAGGGAAUGUAUGCCAUUUCGAUGGCGGACAUCGACAAAACAAUUUUAUCGGGUUUCGGGUUUGGAGACCAUGAGUAUAACAAGAUGAUUAACAAUAGAGGUACAAGCCAUAAGAUAUUACUGAUUAUUAGAUCAUAUAUUUGAGACAUUUGUGUCACCCCCGGUUGGUAAAAUACACGGUAUGGGACGUGUAGGCUCACAUAUCUUUGAUGUAUGGACUGAUAGCCAGUAAUUGAGGAAGACAUUCAUUAGCAUACAUGUAUCAAAUUGUCGUUAUUUAUUUAAAGUAUUAUUUGAUGUUUGAUAACUUGUUUGUGCGAUGUAGUUAAUUAUAACUUAAAAAGGUUUGGCUCUUUGGCCCUACUAAGCGUAAGCUCACCCCUAUAAACUUUUGUUCAGGUACGUUUGAGGACACGUUUUUCUAGAAGCGUAACUGUGAAGUUUAGCUGACGUGUACGAGAGUAGAAGAGUUACAGAAGAUUAGAAGUCAGAUAGAUCGUAAGGGCUUAUCUUUUUGUCUUUGUAAUUGUUUUUUGUUAUUGUAAACGUUUUAUUUUCUUUUAUUUCUGGAAAAGUAUUUGAAAUUGUUUUAUUUUCUUUUACUUUUCCCGCUCAUGUCUCGGGUACGGCGUCAGGUGCUUGGAAACCACCGACACCGGGUCCGGGGUUUGAUGUAUGGACUAGCCAGUAAUUGAGGAAGACAUUCAUUAGCAUACAUGUAUCAAAUUGUCGUUAUUUAUUUAAAGUAUUAUUUGAUGUUUGAUCACUUGUUUGUGCGAUGUAGUUAAGUAUAACCUAAAAAGGUUUGGCUCUACUGAGUGUAAGCUCAUCCCUAUAGAUUUUUGUUUAGGUACGUUUGAGGAUACGUAUUUCUAGAAGCGUAACUGUGAAGUUUAGCUGACGUGUACGAGAGUAAAAGAGUUACGGAAGAUUAGAAGUCAGAUAGAUUGUAAGGGCUCAUCUUUUUGUCUUUGUAAUUGUUUUUUGUUAUUGUAAACGUUUUAUUUUCUUUUAUUUCUGGAAAAGUAUUUGAAAUUGUUUUAUUUUCUUUUAUUUUUUCCGCUCACGUCUUGGGUACGGCAUCAGGUGCUUGGAAAUCACCGACACCGGAUCCGGGGUGUGACAAUGGUAUAUCUCACAUUCUCAACCAAUCCUCCUAAGGUGAUACUUGAUUACUACAUUGAACAUUUUAUUAUAAACUCUACAUAUAUUUUCAUACUUUUAAAAUUUCUUUUCGAAAUUUUAUUAAUAUUGAUAUUUUCUAAUAUUUUUAUCAAAAUAUCUAUUUUUCAGAUAGUCAAAAUUUUCUUGAAACGUGAUAUUUUUGUAAUAUAUCGAAAUUUCAAAUUUUUAUUUUUAAAAGAAAAAUUAUUUCCGAGCUAUUUUUAUUUCGAUUUCUAUUAUUUCUUUCAAUUCUUUGUAGCUUUCGAAAAUUAUUUCAAUUUUUAGUUUGUCAAAAUUUAUCUUUUGAGUCCAUAGGAUUAACGGAAGCGUUUUCGGACAUCGGAGCUAUUUUUAAUAAUUUUUAGAAGUUAAUAUCGUCUAAAAAAAAAAUAUUUUUAAACCCGCUUGAUCUGGACCGUUGGAUCAUUUAAACCGCAAGAUCUGGGCUGGGGGAGACUGGAUCAGAUCAGUUCAGACCCAGACUGGGUCAGCCUCGAUCCAAAUAGCAGCGACGGGUGACCGGACUGCCGCUUUGUCCUCCAGCGACGGCGUGGGGAAAUCAUGGCAGCUUCGGCUUCGUCUCGGUCGCCUGAUCCUAUCUGUGGUCUCGAUUUCGUCGAUGGAGCUUCGAUGAGAGAGAAUCGAAGAAGGGUAGCUUUUUCUGGGUUUGUCGACGAGUUUACUAUUUCAGCCACGGCGGCGAGCAUGAUCGGUCUUGGUAGCUUCACCUCGACCUGUUGAACAUUUCUUUGAAGAGAAGGUCGGAGGAGGGAGAAUCGAAGAGAAGAAGUUUUUAGGUUUUAGGCAGUGUUCUUGGUGUUUUCCGGCGACCUCGGACUUCAAUUCAGGUAUCAAAGUUGGUCGACUCGUCAAGCCCUACAUCUCUAUAUAAUUGGUUUUCAUUUUUGAUUAAGUUUUGAAGAAUCGAAGUUUUGGGGUUUUACUGUGCAAUUUGAGUUUUCCUGUUUGUGUGGUGAUUUUGGUUGCCUUGGGGCGUUCUUCGAUUGGAAUUGACUUUAUGAAGUUGAUUUGAUGAUCUUAAGCCCUUGAAUUACAUAAUUGGAAAAGUUGGGUUUUGGGGCAGUGUUGUUCGGCGAUGGAAGUGGUGGUUGAUGGUUCUGGGUUUGGUUUAUGUUUUAGAUGAAAUUACAAGAGCAUUAGAACUUAAUUAUGUUGUUGUGUCGCCUGGAUUCCAUAAACGGAGAAGUUGAGUGUAAGAAAAUUAGAGUUAUGCAAUUUGGAAUUGAGCUAAGAUUGGAGUAGAUGAUAGUAUCGGGUUUUCUGCUGAUUUUGGUUUAUUGUUUGUGGUGGUGACUGCAGUAUUCUUGUUCCAUUUCCAAUCAUAUGAAAGUGCAGGAACAUGAAUUUGGAUGCUUGAUUGGUAAAAGAUGAGUUUUGGGUGGUAGGAAAUGGAGCUGUGUUAUUGGAAUAGGGAGGGGAAGAUGGUUGUGUAUAGUACUAAUACUGAACUUGGCGGAGUUGAAGGAUGCAACUAAGAACUGUUGAUUUGCGAUAUGGAACUAGGAGCUUGAUUUCAAAUGGAGAAAGUGAGUAUUGGCAAGUGCAGGAGUAGGACAACUUGAGAAGUAUAAAUUGGCUAAAGAGCUUAUGGGUGUCCUUAUCAAUUUCAAAGACUGGAUUGCAUCGACUUGAAAUCAUCAGAGUGAAUAAAUGCGGAUUAAGGAACUCAUCUGGGUGUCUUAGUAGAUUUAUGAAUUCGGUCCGGUUGACUUAAAGUGACUUAAAUUUGGCUUAAAGUGAGUUUUGCGGAUUAAGGAUUCAGGGUGUCCUUAGUAAUUUUAAGAACAUGAUCAAUUUUGGAAAUUGAUUUAGUUUAUUUGAGGUUCGACGGCUUUCUCGGUAAGGAAUUGUGACGAGGAUCGAGUGACUAUCGACUUUUUCAGAAGCAGAAGGAUAAAGAUUUCAGAAUGCGUGUCGCUGAGUUAUUAGUUUUAAUUAGCGUCAGAACUAGCGCUCGGAUUUCAGGUAUGGUCUUUCUUGGGGAACCUUUUUUUAAAUUGAUAAUUAGAUUGUUAUUGAAAUUGGUGAAUUGUUUGUCAUUGAGUGAUUAACUCUUGGAUGUUACUGCUUUCUAUAAAAGCAUGUGUAAUCGUUGAGUUAUAUGAUUGUUAUUAUCGCUUUUCUUAAAAAGUAUGUGUUGGAUGAUAUAAUAUGAGUAUUGUUAUUCGUUGCAUACAUAAUGCAUUUUGAAGAAUUAUGAGAUUAGUGAGAUUGGUGAUUAUGGAGAGGUGAGAACGAGAUCAAAAUAUACAUUUUGUACAGUUGAGUUUCCUUAUGGGUUGUCCAUAAAUCUAUGUCAUCCCACUUGCGCAAAUGAGUGGGCAAAGUAUACUCCUUCGAUGGCGGACAUCAAUAAAACGAUCUUUCGGGUUUCGGUUUUGGAGAGUAUGAGUAUAACAAGAUGACUAACAAAAGAGGUACAGGUGAUGAGAUAUUACUGAUUGUUAGAUCAUAUAUUCGAGACAUCUGAGUCACCCAUGGUUGGUAAAAUACACUGUAUGAGACGUGUAACUGAGGAAGACAUUCAUUAGCAUAUAUGCAUCUAAUUAUCGUUAUAUAUUUAAAGUAUUGUUUGAUACUUGAUAACUUGAUUGUGUGACGACAUAGUUAAAUGUAACUAAAGAGGUUUGGCCCUACUAAGCGUGAGCUCAUCCCUAUAUACUCUUAUUCAGGUUCAUACAAGGACACAUAUUUGUAGAAGACUAACUGUGACGUUUAGUUGACGUGAACGAGAGUCGAGAAGGACUACCGAAGUUUCUAGUGAGCUAAACAACAAGACUAGUUUUACCUUUAUAGUGAGCUAGACUGCAAGACUUGUUUUGUCUUUAUAAUCGGUUUUGUUUUUUGUAAUCGUUUUAUUUUCGACUAUUUCGAGAAAAAUAUUUAAAAUUAUUUUAUUUUCUUUUAUUUUUCCCGCUCACGCCUCGGAUUCGGUGUUAAGUGUUUGGAAACCACCGACACCGGGUCAGGGGUGUGACAAUUUUAGUCCUUGGUUUGAUGCCUAAGCUACUUCGCUCCUCCAAACUGGGCCGGUGUUGGAUCAAACAAACAGAAACUUGAAAGAAGGAGUCCGAUACAAGUCAUACAACUACGUUGGUCGGAGCGGAUUUUACGCAUCAAGGUGCCCUUGCACCAUUAAUCUGUAAGUUUUUAAAUCUUCGUAUGCAAAGAUUUAAUGAAGACUAGAGACCUUAAAUUCUUUUCUUUCAUUUUUAUUUUUGACCUGAUCAAAUUAAACGCCAAUAAUUAGAGUACCUCUUAUUCAAUCUCAUGUCCUCAUCUCUUGUGUUGAAAACACUUUUGAUUAUUUUUUUGAGUUUUAAUUUUGUUAAUGGUAUUAAAAUACAUGCAUGAUAAUGCGACAUAGAUGAUCGGAUCAAAACAUUGCGUAUUAAUUGCUCGAUUCACUUGUAGAAGAAUUUUCGAGCUUCGGGCCAAUAUUCCAUUUUUCUUUUUAAUAAAAAAUUCUAGCAGCUAGACAGCUAGUUAACCAAUUGUGAAGCUACACAACUGGGACUUGCAGCGGAAAACAACUACCACGCGUUGCAUGGAGAGGUUAGGUCCUGCAUGCAACUCCGCCGCCCGUAAAUCUCCUACUGACAGCUCUACCCCUCGAUUUGCAGAUACUGAUGUAAAACCCGAGGACAAAACGGUAAUCGUUGAUACUCCGAGCCAGACAUAAAACUAUCCAAGAACAAAGAGGAGACACCACAGGAAAAAUGACCGGACCGCCUCUACCUCGACCCUUUCUAACGUGCUUGGUUGGUGUAGCAGUCUUAACCUGCGCACUAACCUUCUGUGUUGCCCUAGAUGUCACCCCCCAAGACCCAAUCAUCCACCAAGUCACAGACCAUGAUACUAACAAGCUCCUUGGAACCGAGAAAGAGUUCAAGAGUUUCAUGGAGAAGUAUGAGAAGAAGUACCCUACUAGGAAGGAGUACAUGCACCGGCUAGUUGUUUUUUCCAAGAACAUGAUCAGAUCCGCCGAGCACCAAGCUCUGGAUCCGACGGCGGUUCACGGCGUCACGCCGUUCUCGGAUCUGGAGGAGGAGGAGUUCGAGAGGAUGUACACCAUUCCUCGAAAAGUUAAAGUAAUCUUUUUUAGAAAUCGAAUGGAUUCGGUCUUAUACAUACGCAAGGAAGGUAAUAAAAAAAAAGAAAGAUGAGUUCUUUUAUCACUUAGGAGCUGUGCGAGAUAAAAGUCUCAUGCACGGUUUUGAAUGAGAGAAAGAAGUGAGGAAUCCUUUUUUCGACACUGACUCUCCCACUCCAGUUGUUGCUUUUUUUUUCUUUUUUUUCUGUUACUUCAAAAGUCGUUGCUUCAGUUUCAGCCACUCGAAUUUUCGAUGUUCUUUUUUAUUUCUCAUCAAACGAAUGGCAUUUUCUUCCUAUUACUCAAACAAGCAUGAAACGUAUGCUUGCGUAUUCGUCCAUAGGUCAAAUUGGAUAUGUAAUUAUUGGAAUAAUUGUUGGAGACUCAAAUGGUGGAUAUGUAAGCAUGAUAACUUAUAUGUUGUUCUAUAUCUCUAUGAAUCUAGGAACUUUUGUUUGCAUUAUAUCAUUUGGUUAGAGGUGCGCCCGGCUUAACCAACGGCGGAGGCGGUACGGGGAGCACGGUUGAGCUUCUGGAUGUUAGCGGGUUGCCUGAGAGUUUUGAUUGGAGAGAGAAAAAGGAGCUGUUACUGAGGUCAAGAUGCAGGUAGUUUCUAAUUUUCGUUUUAUUUCUGAUUUUUUAGGUUGGACACACAAUAUAUGUGAUUAACAGUUUCGGCCGUACUUAAAUCCUAGCUUUUUGCAAAUCAAGUUAUGGCACAUACGAUAUAGAAGUCUCGUAGCUGGUUGUAAAUUACUAAAUUGUGUAAUCUGAAGUCGAUCAGCUGAUCAGGUGCUGCUGGUUCUUUUGUUUAAUUGAUUGUAUAACUAGCUUGACUUUGAGAGUUUGAAGUUUUGUACAGAAAGAUUUGUCUAAUAGAGCUAGGGUGUUUGUGGAACAUGGAAUUAUUCUUCAGGCAAGGAGUUGUAUUGUGAUACUUAAAGCCUCUAAAUCUCUUGUUAUGGAUGCAGGGUGGCUGUGGGUCGUGCUGGACCUUUAGCACAACGGGAGCUAUUGAAGGAGCCAAUUUCAUUGCCACUGGGAAGCUUGUUAGUCUCAGUGAACAGCAGCUUGUUGACUGUGAUCACCAGGUAAUUAAGCCUAGCCUCUCUGGAAUAUAUUGAAGUACUCAUUUAACUUUAGGGCGAUAAAAAUUUAAUUGAUUGAGCAUAUAUAUAAUAUUUGGCAUGCCUACUUAAUUAGUUUCGUUUAAUGUUUGUGGCAACUAUAAUCAAGUGUGAUGCAAAAGAGAAAGAUGCAUGUGAUCGUGGUUGUGGUGGCGGACUUAUGACAAAUGCCUACAAGUAUCUAAUGGAAGCAGGAGGGUUGCAAGACGAGGUUUCAUACCCUUAUACGGGGAAAAAGGGCGAAUGCAAAUUUAAUCCUGAAAAAGUAGCCGUGAGAGUAACCAAUUUCACCACUAUUCCCCUUGAUGAGAAUCAGAUUGCAGCGAACUUGGUCCACAAUGGUCCUCUUGCCAGUGAGUACUAAACCUGAUAAUAUGCUUAAAAAUAGCUAGGCUUUUUAUGUAUCUAUGUGUGCGUACAUAGAACUGCCUUAAGUGUCUUAUUUUCUGAAUAUGAUGUGCACUGUUUAGCAUAUUUAGAUCUGAGUGUAGAUACACCCCACUGAUACAGAAUCUUAAUUGAUGUAUGUAUGCGCAGUUGGCUUGAAUGCUAUGUUCAUGCAAACCUACAUUGGCGGUGUGUCAUGCCCUCUUGUUUGUUUCAAGAAAUGGGUGAACCACGGUGGUUCACUUGUUGGAUAUGGUGAGAGUGGCUUCUCGAUUCUCAGGCUCAGCAACAAGCCGUAUUGGAUCAUCAAGAAUUCAUGGAGCGCAAAAUGGGGAGAACAUGGUUAUUACCGACUUUGCCGAGGCCAUGGCAUGUGUGGGAUGAAUACCAUGGUGUCUGCAGUUGUGACCAGUACGCGGGCAUCCUAGCUGCAUCUCCCGAGAUUAGCUAGUAUAUAAUUAUACACUAUAAUAUUAUAUGCACCUCUCCCUUGUUUUUUCUUAAUCCGAAUUUGAUGUUCCUAUAAUCAUAUUUCAACAAUAUUAUUGUUAAUAUGCCGAAGUGGAAAGUCUUGUUUACGUCAAAACCAAUUCGAACUAUAUUUUGUUAGCUUUAAAUGCUAGAUUGUCAGACUUCAAAUUUAAGUCGGAAAAAUUUUACAAUAUGUUAAUGCAUGUUAUGCAUCAAUUUUAUCCUAAAAUUGUAAAAUGAGUCUCUAAAGUAGUAAUAUUAGUCCUUGAAGUUGUAAUAUAUACGAGUAGUUGUAAAUUUUAAAGUUACAACAUUAGUUAUCAUGUGUCCUUAAAGUAAAUUUUACAGUUACAACAUUAGUCAUUGUGUCUUUAAAGUGAUAAAAUGCGUGCUUAAAGUGGUAAUUGAAUCCUCAAAGUGAUUGAAAAAGUUUUUAUAUCUUUGAGGAUUUGUAUUACAACUUUGAGGAUUUGUAUUACAACUUUGAGGACUCAGUUACCUCUUUAAGGACACAUAAGGAUUAAUAUUGUAACUAAUUUUUUUACAACUUUAAAGACUUAUAUUACAACUUUAAGGACUAGCUAAUAUUACUACCGUAAGACUCGAUCAUUUUAUAACUUAAGAGCAAAGUUGAUACAUCACAUGCAUUUUUUUUUUAUUGGUUAAUGAUCGAGGAUAGGCGAAUAAUCACCUAUCACUCUAUGUUAUUAAUAAAAGAAAAAAGAAACAAAGGAGGGGGAUCAAAACCAAAACAUCCUAAAACAAAUGACAGACUAGCUGAAACGAAAUUGAGGCAUACCUCUAACAUCGUUAUUAUAAGACAAUAAUAUGAAAGGUGGAGGCUCAUCCCACCAUAUCAAUUCAGAGCAUGACGUACCUUGAUUUGCCAGAGCAUCAGCUAUCUUAUUCCCUUCACGAAAAAUAUGAGUAGCCUUGAAAUUCAUUUUAGAGAUUCGGUAUAAGCAAUUCAACCAACGAACUCGAAGAGGCCAAGGAACAAGAGAAGGUCUGCGAAUAUAAUCAAGUACCAAAGAUGAGUCAACUUCCAACCAAAUAUGCUUCCAAUCACGAACCCAAGCAAGCUCAAUAGCUUUAAUAACAGCCAUUAUCUCCGUUGAAAUUGAACUAGGAAUUUCAAGAUUAGAGGCAAAAAGCACCUAGAAAGUGGCCCUUGUAAUCUCUAAAAAUAGCACCAUAACCACCCACUCCCUCUUCAUGCUUCCAAGAGCCAUCAGAAUUUAUCUUCACCCACCCAAGAGAAGGAGGAAUCCAAUUAACUUCAACCACUCUAGGAGUGGCACGAGGUCGACAUGGGGCUCCAAAACAUUUCAAAAUUCGUAGCUCCUGGACACUGUUAUGCAUAUGACCCGUUGUAAGAUGACUAGUGGCUCUUAUAUGACUUGAUAUUAGCUUGCAAACAACUUCAACUGAAAAGCGACAACCAUCAAAUCUGGUUUUAUUUCUCACAUGCCAAACAAACCACAAAAUGGAGGUAAAGCAAAUAAGCCAUAAUUCCAUUAAUUGAGGACUUCUUCCAUUCUGCAAACCCAACCCAUAAAGCUCCAAAAUAGAAGAAGGAAUCAUACCUAACUCAAAAAUAGAGCCAAAGUGACAGAAGAGACGCCAACGGCACCAACACCCAAAGCCAAAGGUAAAGUGUUCGUCAAAGGACUCCACAAUUCCAAGAAUGCUUUCCAUGUGCUCGUGCAAUAAUGGUAAGGAUAUCGAGAGACGCCAACGGCACCAAAUAUUCCAGCUUGAUUCAAUACGCCUUCAAAAUUGGCUAAUAUGAAUUCUGUCCACUCCAUUACGCCUAUCUCAAGUGUAGCACAACCCCGGAAACAAAGGCUCGAAGACCAAUCUUGUUUGGUGUUUAGCAUCCUGUGAAGUAUCGGGUAAAAAUUCUCUUCGAAAGUGAAAAGACCUCCAUCAUGUCUGUUAUCAACCUUCUCCAAAGUAUGCCCCUUAAAUACAUGGGAAAAGUUGUGGGUUGUUCUUAUCACUUGAUCCUCCAAAUCUUGGCGAAAUGUAAGAAAGCCUGAGUUCAUUUCAACUUCUGUCACCAAGGUAAUGAUGUCUUUAGGAGGGACAUCAACAUGAAUGGAGCUUAAAGGCUGUGAUCUCACGUACUCUAUGCCCUUUCCAACAACCUGCCUGUGUUUGUCCAAAGCUGCCUCGCGGGAAAUUCGACCAUAUGCAUCCAUUACCUGAGAUUAUAGCACGCAGAGAUGUUAAAAGCAAGCAAUAGCAAGUCAAGCUUUGCGCGAGAAAAGCAAGUUCCACGUACAAAGCUUGAGGGGGCACUGUUGAUACCAAAAAAAAAGGAUUACAGAAAAGGAAAAAAAUAAAUAAAAUAAAUAAAUGGAAGAGUAUUUAUUCAUGUCAUACUCUUCCGUUGGUUUUGAUUACACGCACAAAGCUUUUGAGUUCAAUUACAACUCUUGCAAGCAGGUGCUUGGAUAAGAACAAAUCAGUACGAGCACCAGAGUUUGAUUGUAACUCAAUUAUCCUAACCAAGCACUCUAUAUAAAGAGGCCAAUACCUUCAAAAAAAAAAAAAAAANAANNNNNNNNNNNNNNNNNNNNAACACCAACGGGAGGAGGCAGGCGGGCAACAAGGAGGAUCACAAAGGAGCGGUUCAUUCUUUACAAGGUUCGGAUGGAGAGUUCUCUUUCUCUUUGCGCAGCUCUCUUUAUGUUCUGUUGAUGGAGGCAUCACUGCCUUCAUAUUCCUCGCAGAUGGCCUCUGGUGUUCUUGGUUACUAUUGUUCCUGGUCACCCAAAUCCCUUGCGGAUCGAUCUGGUUAUUAUAGUUACUGUGUUCUGUUGGUUACUUGGUUACUACUGUGUUCUCUUGGUUACUUGGUUACUCAAAUCCCUUGUGGAUCGUUCCUGGUUACUCGUUACUUGGUUACACAAAUCCCUUGCGGAUCGUUCCUGGUUACUUGUUACCCUAAACAUUGGUUACUGGAUACUAUGGUUACUGGAGACUAAUGGCUACUAUGGCAAUGGUUCUAUGUUACAAUGGUUAUAUGACACUAUGGUUACUAUGAUUCUGGUUCUAUGGCUACUGUAGCACUAUGGUUACAAUAUGGUUCUGGUUCUUUGGGUACUUUGACACUGGUUACUAUAACAGAUCGGUUGCCCUUUGAUCCUACAAAACCAAACACAAAACCAAUACUCAAAAUUCCACCACAAAAGGCCAUUGUUGUCCCUGUUCCCUGUUAACCACCACAGCCAAAUACCUUUCCAAAUUCCAUGUUUCAAGCACCAACUCAAAUACUGUGCAAUGAAACUAAAAGAGACAAUAACAGAGGCUUACCCUCAAACUAUGACAAUCGAUCUAUUCCGAUACUACAACUACUACCUGUGUUUCAUACCUUCAUGCUGUAGCAGGAAUGGUGAUGAUAUUGCAAAAAGAGAACAGCAAGUUCCUGUCAAGUUAACCUCACAAAAACAUCCGAGCAAAGAGAGUCAUUGAUUCUUUGGCUCUGUCCCUUUAAAAAAAACAAAGGGGGCUCGGUGAGUUUUCUCAUGAUUCUUCUCCAAUAUCACAAGAUGACAAGAAUCAAGCUUGGCGGUGACCCUCCCAAACAGAGAAGGCUUACUCAAACAUAAAUAUGCAUUCACCACCAUGGAGUAAAACAAAAGAAGCAAACUUAAUUAAACAAGUUUUGUUUCUGGAAGUUCCAAGGCAGCGAGCCGAAUACACCCACAGUCAAAUAAAUUGGAGCUAAGAAGUUUAGAGUCUCAAAGCAAAAGACGUGUUCUUCCUCAAAUUAAAGCCUGCAAAUUGAAGCCUGCAGCAAAAUUAACCUACUCGAAGCUAAGCUCAUCCAUUCGACGCUAAGCUAAUCUACUCGAAGUUAAGGAAGCGAAGGAUAAUUAAUUUUGCCAUUGAAGAAUUGUAACAAAGCACCUAUCCAACACAAGGCAGUAACCAAAUUGAACGCUACCUGUGAAGAAACAAGCUUUUGACCAGUGGGAAAUCCUUCGAAAUUACUCUGAAGCAUAAUGGAGAUACUUUCGUCAUGAGGGUAUUUGAAUUGUAGGGAUGAAAGCAGGAACACAAUAGGGGUUAUCCUUACCCAAUUUCGCACAGUGAGAAAGAGCACAGCAAAUCUCAAGCCUCCCAGUGUUGAUAAAUUUCUUCUCGGCGACUUAGGAGCACUGCCAUCACCAAGUCGGUUGCUGCGCCAACCCCUCUCCAUUUGAUCAGUUUCGGCCUUCAAGUUCUUCUGGGUUACAAUAAACAAGGCAGCAGAAGAUCAAAAGAAAGAAAAGAAAUGAAGAAUGGGGAGAGGGAAAGCUAACGGGCCUCCACAUUGACGGAUGCUACUCACAAGCAAGGCCCAUGUCAAAUUUGGGCCCAUCUGAAAAGUUCAACGAGGCUCAAUAUAUGGGUGUUCAAAUCAAAAUACCCAAACUUCGGUUUCGUUUAAAAAUUCUUCGGAACCCGAAUGAAGUUGCGUUUGGUACAAAACCAAGAAAUACUCAAAUACCCAAAUUUUUGAACUACAAUGGUUUGAUCCCUUCACAGGGUAUGUAGGCAGUCCAGAUUUAAAUCUGGAUAUAACCACAUUUAAAGCCAAAUCGUUGGUUCUUUCCAAGCCAAAUUCUAAAACACAUAACCAAACCUUUCGACAAGUCAUCUACUUCGUCGAAACCCCAAAAGCCAUAAAACUUGAACUACGAGUGACUUGAUCCCUUAUGGGGUACGUAGGCAGCCUGUAAAACAAAUCGGGUGCAGUCGCAAUUCCCCUCGAACACACAUUCCCCAUUUGUUACUUUGUAAUUAGAAUCAAAGGGUCUUCCCCCGAAAGCAAGGGUUGUAAUUAAGAAAUUUAUUUUAUUUCGAAUGGGUCGAACCAGACAUAAUUAAAACUCUAUUUUAAUCAAUGAGAUAGAGUGAAAUUGUGUUGGGUAUAUUUAUUUACAAUUUUUGCUCAACAUAGUUUUUGGCGACUUCACUGGGGACUCUCAACUGGUCAUCAGACAAAUAAAUGACGAGUAUGCAGUCAAAAAUGAGAACCUUAUAUCAUACUACCAAAGAGUUAAAUAUCUCCUGGGACAAUUUCGAGAGAUAUAUGUUGGCCACAUUCCAAGAUCAGAGAAUGAUAAAGCAGACGCAUUGGCUAACUUGGCAGCUUCUUUAGUACUUCCUGAAGAGAAAGACAUCCAAAUAACAGUUGGAGAACGUCGAUUGCAGUCCUACGUCACUUGAACGAAUGGAAGCUACCAAUGAAACAAAUGUAGUUUCUGUGUUCGAAACUGAGGAAGAAUCUGAUUGGCUCAAAUUGAUGCAGUGAACGAGCAAGAGAGGAAAGUAUGAUUCAAAGUCUCCGAGCAAACACCACAAAGCUCACAUCUAGAAACCCAAGGAAUACCUCGACGCUGAAGUAAAACAUCAGAAAUAACUCUACCUCUUAACACCUUCCAUGCUAGGAAAGACAUUCUUGGCAGAAUAUAUUUAGCCCAUAAUCUCUUACCCCAAAUUACUGGAUUAGAAGAAUGCCGCAUAAAAGUAUAGGCUUGUUUUGCGGUUAACUCAUCGGAGGCUGAAGAGGUCCAUAUAAGUUUGUCAUUAACUGAAGGAUCUUCUGACACAGGGACUUGAUUGAUCAUACCACAUAAGGCUGGGUAGUGCAACUGUAGUAAUGGAGGAAGAUUCCAUGAACCAUUGUCUAUAUAUUUUGACACCAAAUCCGAGUUAUCCUGCAUCAACACAUUAGAACCAAAGAACUCAUUUAUUGGCCUACCCAUAAACUUGUCGCGCCAAAAGUAAAUUCCAUUCCCAGAACCAAUGAACCAUUGAGAAUUAUCUUGAACAGUCUUCCAGAAUUGACGAACACCAGGCCAUAUAGAAGAAGGAGCAUAAGAUUUCCGUCUAGAGAAACGAUUGCGAAUAAAAGCACAACCCUCAGAUUGAGCUGUAUAGAUUUCCCAGCAACGUUUCAAUAAGAGAGAUCGAUUAAGCAGAACUAGUUGUUUGAGCCCCAAGCCACCUUCUGCAAUUGGGGAACAACAAGACUUCCAAGCCACAAGAGGGAUCCCUCUUUUAUCAAUUGAGCCAGACCACAGAAAGUUUCGGCACCAUACCUCAAUUUUUCGCACCACAGACACAGGCCAUUCAUAUACUUGAAAAAUGUAUACCAACAUGCUAAAAAUAACAGACUUGAUAAGCUGCAAACGUCCUGCCAUUGACAAAAAAGAACUCACCCAACUCGAUAACUUUAUCCUUAUUUUGUCAACAAUCUGAUGGAAAUAAGAAGCACGAGGUUUGCCAUGAAAAAUAAGGGCACCCAGAUACAUGAAUGGAGCAGACCCCAAGGGAAUACCCAAGAAGUUCGAAAUAGAAUGCCGCCUUGAAUGUAUACUAUUUCCAAUAAAAACCUGAGACUUCCCUUUGUUGAUAACUUGACCUGAAACUCUACCAUACUCAUCGAAGAACCGCAUAAUCCGCGAUAAAUUCCGCCUAUUGCCCCGAAAAAAAACAAUAACAUCAUCUGCAAAUAGGACAUGAGAUGGAGCAAGAGUAUUUCGUGGAGAAGAGAUACGCUGCAGUUGUCCCGAUGAAACAAGUAAAGAGAUCCCACGACUAAGGACUUCUUCUGCUAAGCAAAAGAGCAAGGGAGAAAGAGGGUCACCUUGACGCACACCCCUUUCACAAGAAAAAUACCCCACAGUCCUCCCAUUAAUCAACAGAGAAAGCUUGGCUGACAGAAGCAAGGCACGCACCCAUUGUACAAAGAUCGGAUCAAACCCAAAAGCCUGAAGAACAUGAAGAAGAAAAUCCCAUGACAGAGUAUCAAACGCCUUUGUAAUAUCAACCUUAAUUGCAAGGUUACCCCCCAUGACAUUUUGAGUUCAACAAAUUAAAGCACUCUGAAGUAGUUAAUAUACAGUCUGAUAUGUUCCUCCCUGCAACAAAAGCAUGCUGUUGAGGAGAAAUAAUACGAGAUGCCACUGAUGCCAACCGGAUAGCUAUGAUCUUUGGGAUAAUUUUAAACACAAAGUUGGUGAGGGCAAUAGGCGAAACUGCUUUAUGGAGUCGGCAUGAUCAACUUUGGGGAUUAAGAUGAUAAUACCUGAGUUAAAGGAAGGAGCCAAAUAACCAUGUUGAAAAAAUACUGAACAGCCUUAACAACAUCAGCACCAACAACAUCCCAGCAAGAGACGAAAAAAUGGCCAUUAAAUCCAUCUGGCCCCGGGGCACUAUCAGGAUCCAUUGAUUUGACAGCUGCCCAAAUUUCCUCUGAUAAUGGAACACUAGUAAGCAUCGUAUUUUCCUCAGGAGUUACCAUAGAGUGAAUCACUUUGGACACCAAGCCACUAUCUUCAUACUCUGCAUGUUUAGUAAAAAGAUUUUUGUAAUAAUCAACUAUAUGAUUUUGGAUAUAAUGAGGAUCCUGAAGCACCUGAUCUCCAUCACGAAGCAGAGUAAUAGAAGAACGAUUUCGGCGCACUUUACACAAAGCAUGAAAAUAAGAAGAAUUACGAUCACCUUCUGAUAACCAUCGCAACCUUGACUUCUCACGCCAAAGAAUUUCCUGAUGCAGAAUAGACUCAUUCAAAAUGGCCUGCAAUUCAGUCUCUUUUUCAAACUCUUCAUCUGAUCCCCCAGAAGCUGCAAUUUUAUUUUGAAUAUCAGCAAGGGCUGCAAGGUCAAACUCAACCCGACGGUGAACAUCCCCAAAGACCUCCCAGUUCCAAGUACGGAGAGAUUUCCUUAAGGUACGCAGCUUAUAUUGCAGGACAGAAUAAGGACAACCAAACGAAGUAGUAGAGGACCAACAUCCUUUGACAAAACUCAUAAAAUCCUUAUGCUCCAACCACAUUUUUCUAAACCGAAAGAGACUAAAACGAGACCCUGUAAACUUAGAAAAGGACAUUAGUAGUGGAUUAUGAUCAGAGCAAGUUCUGGGUAAGGUGCAACAGUCAAACUGAUCCCAUUCCUCCAUCCAAUUCAAAUUAGCAAGACUUCUAUCUAAUCUUAGCUCCACAUUACCACGAAAACCACGCCGUCUCACCCAUGUAAACUCUGCCUCUUUAGUAUCUACAUGAAUAAGUUCACAAACAUCUGACAUUGUCUGAAAUUCCUCACAUGAUCGCCGACAUAGAGGAGCACCUCCUUUCUUUUCAUGAGCACCAAGAACUGCGUUAAAAUCUCCAAAAACCAACCAUGGUCCUGUAACAAAACGACCUUUGAAAUCAGUAAUAUCUUCCCAUAACUUCCGGUGGCCAGAGAUUGUGGUACGAGCGUAGACAGCUGUAAGAAAACAGUUUACCGAAUCAAACAUAACUUGUAAAGAAACCUGCUGAUCCGAGGUAGACAACACCCGAAUCCAUGGAGCCAGAGAAGUCUUACAAAAAACCCAUAGAUUAGGUAAUGCAGAACCCCGGUCAUUUGCACCAACAAAUCGCAUGCCUAACGAACGCCAAAAGAAUAGAGGAAUUGAAGUCAAGGCAACGAAAGGCUCAGCUAUACAUAAAACUUCCAGGUUGUGAACCCGUACAAACUGUUUCAAAGCAUCUUGAGUGGGGACAUUAGCAAUGCCCCGUAUGUUCCAAUAAAGAACCCUCAUUUAGGAGUGUCUUUGGAGCGACGGAGAUAGGCUUCCCUAUUCUCCUUCGAAGCAGCCUUCCUCUUUUGAGACCUGGACAUAACAACAGUAAAACCAUCAUCAAUGUCAACUCGUUCUGUCUCCUCAUACCAGCUAUCAAUUCGAGUUACUGAAUUUGCAGCAACAGCAACCCCAAUGUCAGAAGACUGCUCAUGCAUACUACCACCGGCAGAGUCAUCUUCACUAUUCUGCUCGUUCUGAUCAAUUGCAUACCUAGUAUCAUCUUCUUGCUCAACCACAUUACCAUGGAUAGCUACUGGUACCAAAACCACAUUCACCCCCGGCUCAACCACUUCUUGGACAGGUGCCACCACUUCCACUAGCGGUUCCGGCACAACACUAGAUAUCACUAGUUGGCCGACCGGUGCUGGAGACUUCUGCACAAAGGAAGGACCCUCACCAAAAUCUUCCCUGGGGUUUGGAGUUGAAUCAAUAAUCAUGCUCUUACCUCGAUCUGCUGGAUUAGAUGGGUUUUUAGGCACAUACACUUUGGAGACUCGUUGCUGAUCACGGUUCCUGCGAGAUCGUCUACUACGCUUGCGCGAUCGACCUCUGCCUUUCUCAGUCUCAUUAUCCAUUGGAACCGGGUCAGAAGAUCUAUGCACAUACUUGCAAGCUGUGACAAGGUGCCCAACGUUGCCACAAUGAGCACAAAUAUGUGGAAGCUUCUCAUAAUCCACAGUCUGAACAAAAGACGAACCGCACUUACGCUUGACAACCAAUUCAUGCGGUGGAUCAACAGAGAGAUCAAUAUCAACCAAUAUUCUAGCAAAUAGGGUUCUAGGUUCCCAAAACUCAAGCCCUAGAUCCUAAAACCUCACCCACACCUGAGCAUUAGUAUUACGUUGAUUCGCUGGGGAGAAAUUUGGAACCCAUCGCAUGAAACGCAAGAAGCCAGGCUUGAGAGCAAUUGCACCCUUUACCCAGACUGUAGAGAGAUCCUCAUCCGUAGAGAAGCUAAACGUGAAAUAACCUUUUCCCAUGGGAAUAAUCUUCCAAGCCCCUAGACUUCCCCAAAGAAGAGAAAGCUUAUGAGACAGAUCUGAUGCAGAGUAGGGUUUAUCCCUCAAACCCAAUUGCACCCUUCCGAUUAACAUAUGUUUACAAUUAUCCAAACCCGAUUGAUAGCCCUCUUCUGAAAUAGUAACAGUUGUCUUGCCAUCUAAAAUCUCAGGAAUAGGUAGAUCAUCAAUUGGGAUGAAAGCUUGCGCCGCCGCCGCCGCAUAAGAUUUCGUCGGCUUCGCAGCCCCCUCGUCGAGAAAAGACCACGGGCAGAAGGGACGAUGCUGAACAGCCAUGACGUCGUGAAGCAAACGGAACUCGAAUUCAAGGAUUUACUGCAGGGAGGCUCCAGCACGGGGAAACCCUAGCAGAGCCAUCACCAACAUAAUGUAACUCGAUGCAUCACAUCCAUUAACACACUAUAGUCUUACCUUUUAAGUUGAGUCAAUGCAAGAGUUGCACUAUUUAGACCAUUUGGUUCUUCCGAAAAUAUGUAUUAUAUUUUUGAGAAUUUCAACGUCUGUAGUAGAGUCGACGAGGAUUUUAGAUUUGAUUUCGUCGAUGGCGUUGUCGAGCUAUUGCGUCAAUAGGAUGAUGAAGAGCAACCGGAAUCACCUCUCUUCUGACGCAAUUUGUUUUUCAAAGAUCUGGUCCGUUGCACUGGCCGGUCGAAGCCUUUUCAGUUCUCAAAACAGUUCAGAAACUACAGGUCUGAUAAUGAAAUGCAUAAAACAUUUAUAACUAUUGGUAAUUUAUAUCCUAGAGUUGUUCGAGUGUACUAACCACAGGAAAUAACGAUCUAGCUAGACUACCUUAUUUUCGUUAGGGCUGCUCUAAUUAGUCAACAUAUGCAGCUAGGUGAUGAUAAACUUACCCAAUUCGUUGUGAAAAUAAUUGAACCAUCAGUAGCCGUGAUAGUCCUUACGUACCUGCCCUUUCAUGAGCCUUAAUAUUUGGUGGCUUAUUAGCUACGCACUAAUGGUAGUUAAUUGUGCUUAUUUUGUGCAUGUGUGUUCUAAUACAAUUACCUACCUAGUUCUAAUUGUUCUAAUUCGUCGUGGAAUGUUUUCAGAGGAGAAAACUGAAUGGGGUAGCAUAGAGCCCUAUUACAAAAUAAUGUAUCUAUAACCUUCUCUAAUUUACAUAGUAAUUGACGCAAUUUGGCCGAACUGUUUCUGAACACACUGCUUCAGUUCUUUAUAAACCACGUACCAUAUGUAUGUAUUCAAGUGUCAGAUAUACUGAACCUACAUCGCCAAAAUGGAGAGAAUUCAGGUCAGUAUAAUUUCCAAACACACCGUCAAACCAUCAGCUUCCUCUUCACUACUUCGGGAUUGUCUAUGGUACAGCGCUGUAUGCCAUACAUCCUCUAACAGGACUUGUGUGCACGUGCCUUGCAGUGGGGGUGGGUGUUUUGUUUUGAAAUUUUUAGCCUUGAAAGCAGGCUGCAUAUCAUGCAGGGCUGCAGAUAGAAUUUUCCCUGAAUAUCACGCAUAUCAGCGCUGCAUGAUAUGUAUGAUUGUCUAUGGUACAACGCUGCAUAUCAUGCAGCGCUGCAUUAAAGCAGACUGCAUAUCAUGCAACGCUGCAGGAUAUGCAGCCUGCUUUCAAGGCUAAAAAUUUCAAAAUAAAACACCCCCACCUGCAAGGCACGUGCGACACAAGUCCUGUUAGAGGAUGUAUGGCAUACAACGCUGUACCAUAGACAAUCCCACUACCCUACUUCAGCCUUACAAGCUUACCCUGCUCGACCAGCUCACUCCUCCAUCGUAUGUCCCCAUGGUAUUCUUCUACCCCAUUACUGGCCCUGCAGUCUUCAAUCUUCAAACCCUAGCUGACUUAAGACAUGCCCUUUCCGAGACUCUCACUUUGUACUAUCCACUCUCUGGAAGGGUCAAAAACAACCUAUACAUCGAUGAUUUUGAAGCCGGUAUCCCAUACCUUGAGGCCCGAGUGAAAUGUGACAUGACUCAUUUUCUAAGGCUUCCAAAAAUCGAGUGCCUAAAUGAGUUUGUUCCAAUAAAACCAUAUAGUAUGGAAGCAAUAUCUGAUGAGCUUUACCCCUUGCUUGGAGUUCAAGUCAACAUUUUCGAUUCUGGGAUAGCAAUAGGUGUCUCCGUCUGUCACAAGCUCAUCGAUGGCCGAACGUCAUACUGUUUUCUCAAGUCCUGGGGUGCUGUUUUUCGUGGGUGUCGUGAUGAAAUCAUACAUCCUAAUCUCUCUCAAGCAGCAUUGCUUUUCCCACCGAGAGAUGACCUGCCUGAAAAGUAUAUAGCUUUGAUGGAAGGGUGGUCGAUUGCCGUAAAGAAAGUUGCUACAAGGAGAUUUGUAUUUGGUGCGAAAGCCAUAUCUGCAAUUCAAGAUGAAGCGAAGAGCGAGUCCGUGCCCAAGCCAUCACGAGUUCAGGCCGUCUCUGGUUUUCUCUUGAAACAUCUUCUCUCUGCUUCUCGGGCAUCAUCAUCAGGUAAAUCAGUUUAUGUGUCUUCUUAAAAGUGCACCACAUGCAAUUGCGUGAUUGGCAAAGGAGGGCUAGGCGUGAUUAAUUAAGCUAGAGAAGACAAGGUUUUUCCAUUAAUUGUUAGUGAGGCUUGCUCAAAUGCGAGCGUACAAGAGUUUUCAGUAGCUUUAUUUCUGCUGCUUAGGUUAUACCGGAUUUGUUUUGUAAGUUAGAAAAAUACAACUUAUUGGAUAUUGUUAUAAGCAUCUAAUUAAUGAUAUGAAUGAAAAAGAAAAAAGAUCGUACACUUAACAUUUUUCUGCUAUUAUUUCAUACUUAUUUUAUAUUUUUGUAUUACAUAUACUGUACAUAGCUUAAAAAUGAGAAAAUAUAUGAACUUUUGCAGGUACUACUUCAACAAAACUUUCUAUAGCAGCUCAGGUAGUGAACUUAAGAUCACAGAUGAACAUGGAGACAACGUUGGGUAAUGCCAUUGGAAACCUGAUGUGGUGGGCUCCGGCCAUACUAGAGUUAAAUCAUAAAGCACGAGAGAGCAGCGAUCCUAAGCUGUGUGACUUGGUUAUCUUGCUCAAUGAAUCUGUCAAACAAUCUAACAGUGAUUACUUCGACACUUUCAAGGGUAAAGAGGGAUAUGGAAGAAUGUGUGAGCAUCUAGAUAUGGAGGGGACUGUAAGUUCUGUAGAACCAGCACCAGAGAUAUAUUCAUUCUCGAGCUGGACUAGAUUUUUCGACCAAAUUGAUUUUGGAUGCAUGGGGGAGGUCAUCUUGGAUUGGAGUUACCGGAAAACAAUCUGCAUAUUGGAAUUCCACAGUUUUAGUACCAACACAAUGUGAUACUGGAAUUGAAGCGUGGGUGAAUCUAGAUGAAGAGAAAAUGGCUAUGCUAGAACAAGAUCCCCAGUUUCUAGCAUUAGCAUCUCCAAAGACCCUAAUUUCAAGGUAUUGAUUAUGAAAGAUUAUGUGGCUCGUGCAAUGUUUCCAUUUGCAGUGAAUAAGGAUUAAAUUAGUUCCCCGGCCAAUUAAUAAGAAGCAAGGUAUGAUAGACUAUGGCUACGUAUGUUAGUAUGUUAUCCGAAUGUGCUUCGUUAUGCUUUUAACCAAUAUAGCUCUGUUUUGUAACAAUGCUCUAUUGAGCUUCUAACUAUAGAGUUAUUUUUCUUGAUUAGAAAAAGAAACUAUGCAAGUUUUGUUUUGUUAAGCUAUUCUGUUUCUAAAAGAAAGGCUAUUCUGUUUCUAAAACGGGAUGCAUGUAUUACCUAAAAAGAUGAUUCACCUAUAAUUAUUUUUCAAGUAAAUGAUUAUUUGAUAGCAAUCACGCCGUGUAUUUCUAUAGCUAAAAUUGUAAUUUAGAUCAGUGACAACAUGAUUAAAAGUUACAUAUUCUGAUACAUUUGUUAUUUAACGACAAGUGUGGCCAUAAUGCCUCACCUAGUCACCUAAUGCGAAGACCUCUACGAGAGACUAAUGUCGUCUGAUCUUCUUUUCUUAAUCAAAAGAAACGAAAAUGGCCACAAUGCCUCACUAUUCAUAGAACCAUACAAUAAUUUGGAACAUAUGCAUGGAUGCAAAGAAAAAUAACACAAGAACCAUCAUAAUUUCACAUUAUAUGAGAAACUUAGCCAAAUCCGAAUCACAUCCAUGUUGGCCAAGAGUGACUAAAGAAGACCACCCAGAAAGCUAGAAAACCAUAAAAUCCAGAAAACUUGAAUAAGCUAGGGAAAAAACAAAAAUGUGACAUUCCAUUUCUUCUUGCGGUUUUGUUAGGCCAAAUCAAAAUCUCAAUGACCCUGCAAUCAUUUACACACACUCUUUCUCAAUCUCUGCAAAACUGACUGCUUCCCCUGAAAACUUGCGCAAUAGGGUACCUAGCUCUCUGGCCUUUUCUUUCUAAUGCACAAUUUAUGGCUUUUGGUAAUGAUGAUUUUAUGCUUGUGGAUCUCAGAUGGGUUUGUUUUGUUUUGGGAUUUUUAUAAAUGAAUGCAUUGAAAAUGUUGAAAGCUUAUGCCUUUGUUCCUUGGUUCAGUGUUCUGGUUUUGUGUACGUACGAGAGUUGAAAUGUGAUCUCUAGUAUCGGUAAAGAGAAAUGUUCUAACCAUGCUAGUGUUAGUAAUUUAUCUUCUAAAGUUGUUUGAGUACUUUACUCUCUUACUUUACUAACUAAGCAUAGGAAAUAACGACCUAAACUACCUGAUUUUCGUUAGUGCUUGUAAACACGAAAAUUCCUGUAACGAAUAACAGAAAGACAUGUGUACAAAAUAAUAUAUUUGUAUUGAUUGAAUUUGCGGGUUACAAUCUCUAUGGGUAUUCUUUUAACAAGAAUGUCCUCUGAUUCGAUCUCCGAUGUUGAUUUGAUCCAAGGGUGACAAGCACUUGAUCUUGAAUUGAACUGUUGUAGUUUGAACUUCUUAUUGUGUUGACGAUUUGUAGAAGGAAGUUGACCAAGGGCCAUAGAGGCUUGAUCUUGGUCGAAUAUGGGCCGCGAGAGGUGUCACGUGGUGAACGUUCUUCGACUUGAUAGCGGAUGAAUCGGCACGUGUGUUUGGUACUUGUUGAUUCUCCACGAGGUUGUUGAAGAACUUGGUAGAAGUUUUGAUUUGUUGAAAGACUUGAAGACGAGGGUUGAUCAAGGGCCGUAGAGGCUUGACGUUGAUCGAGUUUGGGCCGAGCAGUUCCACAUGGUGGUUGCUCUUCGUCUUGUAGUUGGUGAAGAUGUCAGCUAUUUGGCAACUUGGGACUCUUCGGGAUUUGACAACCUAUAGGCUUGAGGUUGAUGAAGAAUCAACUAUUUGGCAGCUUGAUGAUUCUUCAAGGGUUUUGGGAGAAUUCUAAACUCUCGGGAGUAAUUUUUCUCUCUUGUCUGAAAGUCGUCCUCUUGAUAUGAGAGGGGGUAUUUAUAGUGUUAAUGCUCCUCCGUAAAUGGAAUGCAUUGAAGUCACAGCUUUAAUUAUAUUUCCUUAAUGAUAUAAUUAAAUCAAUCACUUUUGAUUGAUUGAUUCAAUUAUUCAAUUUCCCAUAAUUAAAUCAAUCAGUCUUAAUUGAUCGAUUUAGUUAUGAUCGAUAAGGUAUUUCACUAAUUUGAUUAAAUUCCGACUUCCUUUUCGAUAAUUGAUUUGAUUUGAUUGAUGUUUGAUUAUCGAUUGACAUUUAAUAUUUUAUUUUAGUUGGGAUUGAUGAUUUUGUUGUCGACCGACCAUUCACACGCCGCCACGUGUUAUUUUCGAAGACUUUUCAACUUUGCUGACUCACGAGCCACGUAUGCACGAGACUUUUCAACGUCUCUAAUUUACAUAGUAAUUGACGCAAUUUGGCCGAACUGUUUCUAAACACACUAAGCUUCAGUUCUAUAUAUACCGCGUACCACAUGUUUCAUCAAGUGUCAGAUAAUACAGAACCUACUUCGCCAAAAUGGAGAAAAUUGAGGUCAGUAUAAUUUCCAAACACACCAUCAAACCAUCAACUUCCUCUUCACCACUUCAGCCUUACAAGCUUACCCUGCUCGACCAGCUCACUCCUCCAUCGUAUGUCCCCAUGGUAUUCUUCUACCCCAUUACUGGCCCUGCAGUCUUCAAUCUUCAAACCCUAGCUGACUUAAGACAUGCCCUUUCCGAGACUCUCACUUUGUACUAUCCACUCUCUGGAAGGGUCAAAAACAACCUAUACAUCGAUGAUUUUGAAGAGGGUGUCCCAUACCUUGAGGCUCGAGUGAACUGUGACAUGAAUGAUUUUCUAAGGCUUCCGAAAAUCGAGUGCCUAAAUGAGUUUGUUCCAAUAAAACCAUUUAGUAUGGAAGCAAUAUCUGAUGAGCGUUACCCUUUGCUCGGAGUUCAAGUUAACAUUUUCAACUCCGGAAUAGCAAUCGGGGUCUCCGUCUCUCACAAGCUCAUCGAUGGAAGAACUUCAGACUGUUUUCUCAAGUCGUGGUGUGCUGUUUUUCGUGGUUCUCGUGACAAAAUCAUACAUCCUAAUCUCUCUCAAGCAGCAUUGCUUUUCCCACCAAGAGAUGACUUGCCUGAAAAGUAUGCCCGUCAGAUGGAAGGGUUAUGGUUUGUCGGAAAAAAAGUUGCUACAAGGAGAUUUGUAUUUGGUGCGAAAGCCAUAUCUGUAAUUCAAGAUGAAGCAAAGAGCGAGUCCGUGCCCAAGCCAUCACGAGUUCAGGCUGUCACUAGUUUUCUCUGGAAACAUCUAAUCGCUACUUCUCGAGCACUAACAUCAGGUAUGUAAAAUCAGUUUAGCAACAAGCCAAAUACUAAAGCAACUAAAUAAAAACCUAUUGUAUUUGGGGUAGUCCCUUAUUAGCUGUUGUCCUAAACUUCUAACGAUAUGAACUUUUUUCUCAAAAGAAAAAAAUAGUACACUUAACAUUUUCUGUUAUAAUUUCAUACUUAUUUAUAUAUUUUUAUUACAUACAUAGCUCAAAGAAUGAGAAAAUAUAUGAACCUGCAGGUACUACUUCAACAAGACUUUCUAUAGCAACCCAGGUAGUGAACAUAAGAUCACGGAGGAACAUGGAGACAGUGUGGGAUAAUGCCAUUGGAAACUUGAUAUGGUUCGCUCCGGCCAUACUAGAGCUAAGUCAUACAACACUAGAGAUCAGUGAUCUUAAGCUGUGUGACUUGGUUAACUUGCUCAAUGGAUCUGUCAAACAAUGUAACGGUGAUUACUUUGAGACUUUCAUGGGUAAAGAGGGAUAUGGAAGCAUGUGCGAGUAUCUAGAUUUUCAGAGGACUAUGAGUUCUAUGGAACCAGCACCAGAGAUUUAUUUAUUCACGAGCUGGACUAAUUUUUUCAACCAACUUGAUUUUGGAUGGGGGAGGACAUCAUGGAUUGGAGUUGCAGGAAAAAUUGAAUCUGCAUUUUGCAAUCUCAUAACAUUAGUUCCAACACCAUGCGAUACUGGAAUUGAAGCGUGGGUGAAUCUAGAAGAAGAAAAAAUGGCUAUGCUAGAACAAGAUCCCCAGUUUCUAGCACUAGCAUCUCCAAAGACGCUAAUUUCAAGAUAUUGAUUAAGGAAGAUUAUGCGGCUCGUGCAAUGUUUCCAUUUUGUUGUGAUUAAGGCUUAAAUUAGUUCACCAGCCAAUCAAUAAGAUGCAAGUAUGAUAGACUCGGUCUACGUAUGUUAUCCGAAUGUGUUUCCACAUGCUUGUAACCAAUAUAGCUCUUGUUUGUAACAAUGCUCUAUUAAGCUCUUCUAUCCAUAAAGUUAUUUCUCUAUUAAAAAGAAAACUAUACAAGUUUUGUUAAGUUUUUAAGGUAAGAUGCAUGUAGUACCCAAAAAGAUGGUUGACCUGUCAUUAUUUUCAAGUACAUGAUUAUCCGAUACAAUUACAUCAAAUAUUUCUAUAGCUAAAAAGUAUGUAAUUUUGAUCCGUGACAACAUGAUUAAAAAGUUAUAUAUUAUGAUGCAUUUAUCCUCUAACGACAAGCAUGGUCAUAAUGUCUCACCUCAUCACCUCACCAAGCGCGGAUCCAGUUCACAAGUGGGUAAGGCUCAAGCCCAACCAAGAAAAUUGGGGGAAAAAAAAACCUAAGUAUAGAUAUAUAUUUUUUUGGGUGAUAUAUCAUAUAUGCCCAGCCAUCAAGUGACCAAGCCCAACCCACCUAACUCAACCCAUCCCACUAACUACCCAAGUCCACAAUCAUCACUCAUCACUCAUCCACCCAACCUCCUUCAUCGAAGGAGUCCUUUAACUAAUCAGCUUAAACACCAAGUCUAAAAGUCUUCCCUGCUCUUCCCCUCCGCCUCCACUCAGUCACUCACCUAUGACCUAUCCCGGCUAUCCGGCUAUCCCUCUUCCCCUCCAGUCCUCCACGGCUCCACCAUAAUCUCCUUCUUCCCGGCCUCCUCCGGUCCUCCGAUUCCUCCCGGAUAGCGACGACUCGCCUCCGGCGGUCCGGACCUCCGCGGCUCCGCCUCCAGUCCUCCACUCACCUAUCCCUCUUCCAGCUGCUAGAAAGCUUGUUCGAGACUUGGUCCUCCACAGACAACCCAUUAGUCCAUUACCCAUCUUUCUUCACUCUCAGCCAGCAUGGUUGUACUAGAAAUUUUUUUUUGGCCUUCGGCCAAAGUUCAAGCCCACCCCAUCUUUAAAUCAUGGAUCCGCCACUGCACCUCACCAUAGUGUCCUAUCCUCUUAGGAGAAGGUAGGCACCUAAUGCAAAGGCCUUUAUGAGAGACUAAUAUCGUCUGAUCUUCUUUUCUUAAUCAAAAGAAAUGAAAAUGGCCACAAUGCCUCACUAUUCAUAGAGCCAUACAAUACUCUGGAACAUAUGCAUGGAGACAAAGAAAAAUAACACAAGAACCAUUAUAAUUUCACUUUAUACGGGAAACUUAGCUAAAUCCGAAUCAUGGGCGGAGCCAACCCAGGUGAAAUUUUGAAGCCCAAAAAAUUACCUGAAACAUCGUCGUUUGGGUGUAGGUUAUUUCUCCGUUUACUUCUUCUCAAUCUUAGUCAUAACUCACACCAUUGCGUCCGUAGCCCGUCGUUGUCGCUAGAGCGGUCGCCAUUUCCCAUAGCCCGCGCCGUCGCCCGUAGACCACAUCCCGAGUCAGUCAGUCCCCACUUGGCUACUUCCCCAGGUAUGGCUCAAUCGGAUUGCUUAUAUUCUGAUCGUGGACAUAGCAGGCUUCAAUUCAAAAGCCAUCAUAUUCAUAUGCUUCAAUGUUGCUUUACUUCGUCUAUAACUAGAGUUUCAGCUUUGCUUCGUCUUCAAUGUUGAUAUGUUGAUAUAAAAUAUUAACUUGAUUAGGAUUUGUUGAUAUAGAAUAUUACCUUGAUUAGGAUUUGUUGUUAUGUAAUAUGUAUUAGGAUAUUUAUUACUCAUAUUAGGAUUUGUUAUAUGAUCUUACAUCCUUACGAAUGAAUAUACAUCAACACAAUCGAAAUCUGCAUGGUCAUAUUAGCCUUAACUAGUUCAGUCCAAUUCAUAUUAGUCUUAAACUAGUUCAGUCUAAUUCCUCAUGGGUAUAUGCUGAACUUUAAGAUGUUGAUCUUCUAUAAUAACUGAGUUCGAUACCAGAAAUCUUUGAUGAUUGUCCACAUAUGUUAUCUUAUAAUCCUAUAUUAAUUUGUACUAAUCUCAUAGUCUUAAUUUGAAAGCUCCUUAUACGUCUUAACUUGGAUAUGGAUGUGGAUUUGAUCUUAUUAUAUGUAAUAUUAAAGUGAAGUUGUUGUAUUACACAGAAUGUUUGAUGAAUAAAUAACAAAUUGAUCGCGUCAAAAGGCUAGAUCAAAAAAUUUCUUGCACCAUCGAACAAAUUUUCUUGUGUAUACAAUUUCAUGGUUCCGCCACAUUGGCAACAAAGAGUGAUUGGAAAAGAAGAACACCCAGAAAGAUAAAAACCAUAAAACUUGUUUAAGCGAAAAAAACAAAAGUAUGCCAUUCAUUUCUUCUUGCGGUUUUGUUAGGCCAAAAAUCAAAAUCCCAUGAUACCCAAUCAGUUACACACUCUCCCUCUCAAUCUCUACAGAACUGACUGCUUCCCCUGAAAACUUGCGCAAUAAGGUACCCAUCUCUCUGGCCUUUUCUUUGUAAUGCAUAUAAGUUCCUGUAAAUUUUAAAGCUUUUGGAAUGAUGAUUUUAUGCUUGUGGAUCUCAAGAUGAGUUUGUUUGUUUUUUUCGGGAUUUUUAUAAUGAAUGCAUUGAAAAUGUUGAAAGCUUAUGCCUUUGUUCCUUGGUUCAGUGUUUUGGUUUUGUAUACGAGAGUUGAAAUGUGAUCUCUAGCUUGACUGUUGGUAUUGGUAAAGAGAAAUGUUCUAGAAAACCAUGCUAGUAUUAGUAAGUUAUCUUCUAAAGUUGUUCGAGUACUGUACUAAGCAUAGGAAAUAACGACCUAAGCUACCUUAUUUUCGUUAGUGCUAGCUGCUAUGAGAAACUUACCCAAUUCGUUGUUAAAAAUAGGGAAAAUACCCAAAUACUCAAAAAUUAGAAAGCUAAAACCCAUUCCAAUGAAAUUAUAAUCCUUUAGCUCAUUCCUAUGUUACACCGAUACUCCACCCCACGGACACUCCAACACUCCCGACACACCGAUAUCGAUACGAUACACCAAAAUGUGUGUCCGACACGCCACGUGGCGUGUCAAAAAAAGUUGACUUUUUAGACACGUUACGUCAGCCUGAGACACGCCAAGUCAGUGUGUAUUGAUUGAAAAAAAAAAAUACAGAACUAAAAGUCUAAAACCUAAUCGAAGAGGAAGCCCACUUUAAAGAAGCCGCAUAGAAGAGGAACGAUGUCACCGUUCACUAUCACUGCGAGAACGACGUCGUCUGUCCAUGUCAGUGUGAUUGUUCCUCCGAUGACACCACUCUGCGAGAACGACGAGAACAGCGUCGCCUUUCUCUGUUACAGCGACUCGUCCUCCGUCGGCCUAAACCCUCUCUUUAGUGUAAGGUUAAUCUUAAUCUCAGCUUUGACGUGUUUGGUGAUUGCAGUCUCAUUUGCAGUAACAGAAAAGCAUAUAAGAUUUUAAUCAUUUUAUGAUCAUUCUGAUACCACUUAUAGAUUUUUAAGGCAAUGUGCUAUUGAAGCAUCUGCACUGUGAUGUUAAGUGUCAUGAUAUUGCUCAAUUGCUGAUAGGGUAGGAUGGAGCUAGACAUUUGAGACUUUGCAAAAUUGAGUUUAUACCUACUAGUAUUAGAUCAUCAAUUAGUUGAGAGUUUGUAGGAGGUCAGGUUUUAUACUUGGUGAGAAACAUCGGCUCAUCUGUAUUUGUAAGGAAGAUUUAAUUGAAAGGAGUUGUGUAUGGAUUGCUUAUUUGUUUAUCUUUGCUCUGUUAAUUGUUAAUAUGUUAUGAUAUGCUGCUGUGUCUAUGCUGAUGUGCUUAUGCUACUGUGUGUCUAUGCUACUGUGUCUAUGCUAUUGUCUUAUGUUGUUUUGUUGGAUUAUUAUGAUUAGGAUGAGUUCAAGUGCGACAUCUACUGAACCUAGUGUUGAAUCAACUAAGCCUGAAAAAUUAGAUGCUCCUCUAUCAAGGAUAAAGGAUGAUGCCAAUGCAUGCGUGCCUUGCUCUUAUGUAUUUUGAAUAUCUCAGUUAUGGGGUUUUAGGCAGUUGGUGUUAUUAUAGGGUUAGGAAAGUCGGAUUUUCAUUCAGUUUGAUGAAUGUGUUGAAUUAGAUAAAACUAUUUAGUAAUCAUCCUUUAGAUUAAAUAUUGACUCUCUUUUAUGUUAUUUGUUACAGUUAUGCAAUUGCUUAAAUUUAGAGCAUUAUUUAAGCAAUGUGAUAAAUUUAUUCAUAUUUGAGCAUUUUUUUAUUAAUUAGAAAUAUACAAAUAAGUAAUUAUAUUUGCCGUGUCUAAGCCGUGUCGAAAAUGUAGUCUUUGAGUUUUGCCGUGUCGCCGUGUCAGUACGUAUCGUGUCGCCGUAUCCGUGUCCGUGUCCAUGUAACAUAGGCUCAUUCCAAUGAUUCUUAUGCAAAAGACAUUAUUANNNNNNNNNNNNNNNNNNNNCUCUCUCUCUCUCUCUCUCUCUCUCUCUCUCUCCUCUCUCUCUCUCUCUCUCUCUCUCUCUCUCUCUCUCUCUCUCUCUCUCGGUGUACGACGAUGCAAGGUUGAAGACGCAGCCUCCUACUGAGUCGACGAGACCGCGCUCGUGGUCGUGAUUCUCCUCAACAGCGACAUCGAUUUUGGCGGCACCUCUCGGAGAUGAUCCUCAUCUGCCAGAACCUCUGCAACAAUCUCUAGAGCCCUAACGAGCACAUCCGGGGCGUCACGCUCCAGUUCCUCUACUGGUUGAGCAAGUUGGAGAUUGUCCGGCCGUUGAUUUCAUCGAUUUUGGCCAAUCUAGUCAGAGAUUGAGGUCUGUGUUUAGUGCAAACAUGGAUAACGUUCUUCUUCUCCUUUUUUUAUCGGAGAUCGUGUUUUUGUUUUUGUUUUGGUCAGAGAGAUUGUGGUUUUUUCCCCUUUUUUUUUCAAUAUAAUGGUUAUUAAAUGAUAGUAUCUUGAUUAUUGGAGUAAUUAGUCUAUUAUUGGGAGGUAAGAAGUAUCUAGUGGAGGUCAAUAAACAUUUAUUGACCCCAAUAUUGCUUUUAUAAAUUUUUUUUGAGAUGUAGGGAUUUGCCUUAGAGGUAAAAACUUCCUUUUUAACUCGAUUACUAGGAAUCAUUAACUGAUUAUUGAGGUUAAGUAACUGAUUAUUGAGGGUCAGUAAGUGAUUAUUGGGGUUCAGUAACUGAUUAUUGGGGGUUAAUAACUGAUUAUUGGGGGUCAUUUUGAGAGUCAGUAACCGAGUUAUUGGUGAUCAGAAUCCAGCAACCGGAAAAAAUCUGAGUUACUGGGGGUCAGUAACUAAGUUACCGGUUAUCGGAAUCAGGCGACCGGAGAAAAUAUGAGUUACUAGGAGUCAAUAACGGCGACCGAAGAAAUUUCUGGCAACCGGGGACCGGAAUCCGGCGACCGGCAACCAGAGUCCGGCGGCGGGUGACCGGAGUCCGGUGAGAUUCCGGCCAAGUAUUCUCUCUCUUCCACUUUCUCUCUCUAUACAUGUUGAAGUGGUGAGAGUAAAAUUGUCUUAAAAAUAUAUAAAAAUUAUUUUUUAUUAUAACAUUAGUAAAGAUUUGUGCAUAAAAAAUGUUACCUUAUAUUGGAAUGAGCUCAUGAAAAAGAUUAACAUUAAAAUGGGGAAUAAGAGGUUUAAAUUAGUAUUAAAUUGACAUUUUCCCUUUAAAAUAAUAACAGAACCAUCAAUGCCGUGAUAGUCCCUUAAUAUUUGGUGGCUAAUUAGUAAUGCAUUCAUGGUAGUUGUGCUUAUUUUGUGCAUGUAUUCUAAUUCUAUCACUUGCAAAAUCGUUGUGGAAGGUUAAGAGGAGAAAACAGAAAAUGGGGCAGCAUGCAUCUCAUUUUAUUUCCGAUCAUAUUUUCAUAUCAUAGACGUUCACUAUUUAGAUAUACAUGAGUUGAUCAUCUCUACAAAAUUUCAACUAAUUUAGUUAUCAUUAAGGUAUCGAAAAUGUAUUAAAUCAAUGAACGAACCGAAUCUGUUCAUCCUGAACUGUACGUUCUAUUAGUUCUAAAUCACAGUUUUGAAUGUCUUAAUGAUUAUCAACUUGGCUGAAAAUUUAUAUAGAUGAUCUACUGAUAUAUAUACCUAAAAUAUGAACGGUUGAGAUGAGAAAAUAUGAUCGAAAGUGGGACAAAUAAUGAAAUCCGUACCUUAGAUAAGGUAAGGAGGUCCUUACCUGAUCAAGAUUGUGUGUGUGUGUCUAUAGAGUUUAGGGUUUAGAGUUUUAGGGUGUCAUGAAGAUAUCAUACAUCCUAAUCUCUCUGAAGCAGCAUUGCUUUUCCCACCGAGAGAUGACUUGCCUGAAAAGUAUGCCGGUCAGAUGGAAGGGUUAUGGUUUGCCGGAAAGAAUGUUGCUACAAGGAGAUUUGUAUUUGGUGCGAAAGCCAUAUCUUCAAUUCAAGAUGAAGCGAAGAGCGAGUCUGUGCCCAAGCCAUCACAAGUUCAGGCCGUCACUGGUUUUCUCUGGAAACAUCUAAUUGCUGCUUCUCGGGCACUAACAUCAGGUAAAAUCAGUUUAUCAACAAGCGUAAUGUAUUUGGGGUAGUCCCUUAUUAAUUAGCUGUUGUCCUAAACUUCUAACGAUAUGAACUUCUUUUUCAAAAGAAAAAAAAUAGUACACACUUAACAUUUUUUCUGUUAUAAUUUCACAUUAUUUAUAUAUUUUUAUUACGUAUAGUGUACUGUGUACAUAGCUCAAAGAAAGAUAAUAUAUAUGAACUUGCAGGUACUAACUACUUCAACAAAACUUUCUAUAGCAGCCCAGGCAGUGAACAUAAGAUCACGGAUGAACAUGGAGACAGUGUUGGAUAAUGCCAUUGGGAUCUUGAUAUGGUCGGCUCCGGCCAUACUAGAGCUAAAGUCAUACAACACCAGAGAUCAAUGAUCUUACGCUGUGUCACUUGGUUAACUUGCUCAAUGGAUCUAUCAAACAAUGUAACGGUGAUUACUUUGAGACUUUCAAGGGUAAAGAGGGAUAUGGAAGCACGUGCGAGUAUCUCGAUUUUCAGAGGACUUUGAGUUCUAUGGAACCAGCACCAGAGAUUUAUUCAUUCACGAGCUGGACUAAUUUUUUCAACCAACUUGAUUUUGGAUGGGGGAGGACAUCUUGGAUUGGAGUUGCAGGAAAAACUGAAUCUGCAUAUUGCAAUUUCACAGUGUUGGUUCCAACACAAUGCGAUACUGGAAUUGAAGCGUGGGUGAAUCUAGAAGAAGAGAAAAUGGCUAUGCUAGAACAAGAUCCCCAGUUUCUAGCGGUAGCAUCUCCAAACCCCCCAAUUUCAAGGUGUUGAUUAAAAAAGAUUAUGUGGCUUGUGCAAUAUUUCGAUUUUGCAGUGAAUAAGCCAAUCAAUAAGAUGCAAGUAUGAUAGAUUCUGUCAAUAUGCUUGUAACCAAUAUAGCUCUUGUUUGUAACAAUGCUCUAUUAAGCUUCUAUAUAUCUAUAGAGUUAUUUCUCUAUUAAAAAGAAAACUAUGGAAGUUUUACCAAGGUUUGUUCUGUUUCAAAGGUAAGAUGCAUAUAAUACCCAAAAAUAAUGUUCACAUAUAGAAUCACAUAAAAUAUUUUCAAUACUUUAGAAUCUAAUUUGGGUUCGUGACAAAAUGAUGGGAGAAUUUGAUAUACACCUAAUUUUGAAGAAUGGUUUUUAAUAAAACUCAUCUAAUAUUCUUUUCUGAUAUACAUCUAAAAUAUAUCAAUGUUCUAUUUUUUUCUAAAAUUUACACAAUUACCACCAUUCAACUAUAACAUAUAAACAUAAUAAAUAAGUUUAAUUGACGAUAUAUCUUUAAUACCUUGAUUAUGAGUUUUUUCUUGUAACACCAACACUUUUCAAUCAAUUUGCAAGAAUCAUGUAGGUUUCUUUAUUUUUAUAAAAAAAUCUAGGUGAAAGAAAUUCAUUCUCUGAUCUAUACAUAAAGUAGAAUAUAUUAUAAAUAUAUAUGAUCUAAACCUUAAAACCCUAAACCCUAUACCCUAACCCUAAUACCUGACUUGUA